rnacentral:lncRNA from 1 species
ACUAACAUGGCUUCCUCAAACUUUUUAGUGCUGCUUCUUUUUGCUCUCUUUGCUAUCCCUCGGGGUCUUGCCAAUUAUGACAAGCCUCCGGUUUACCAACCACCGGUCUACAAGCCCCCUGUUGAGAAGCCACCUGUGUAUAAGCCACCGGUAGAAAAACCUCCAGUUUACAAACCACCGGUAGAGAAACCACCAGUGUACAAGCCACCAGUUGAGAAGCCCCCCGUCUACAAACCUCCUGUAGAGAAGCCUCCUGUUUACAAGCCACCAGUAGAGAAACCACCAGUGUACAAGCCACCAGUUGAAAAGCCUCCGGUCUACAAACCACCUGUAGAGAAGCCACCUGUUUACAAGCCACCUGUAGAGAAACCACCAGUGUACAAGCCACCAGUUGAGAAGCCUCCGGUCUACAAACCACCUGUAGAGAAGCCACCUGUUUAUAAGCCACCUGUAGAGAAACCACCAGUGUACAAGCCACCAGUUGAGAAGCCCCCGGUCUACAAACCCCCUGUAGAGAAGCCUCCUGUCUACAAGCCACCAGUAGAGAAACCGCCAGUGUACAAGCCACCAGUUGAGAAACCCCCGGUCUACAAACCCCCUGUUGAGAAGCCUCCUAUCUACAAGCCACCAGUAGAGAAACCACCAGUGUACAAGCCACCUGUUGAGAAGCCUCCAGUUUAUAAGCCACCAGUUGAGAAGCCACCUGUGUACAAGCCCCCAGUCGAGAAACCCCCGGUCUACAAACCUCCUGUAGAGAAGCCUCCAGUUUACAAGCCACCGGUGUACAAACCUCCAGUUUACAAGCCACCAGUAGAGAAGCCACCUGUGUACAAGCCUCCGGUCUACAAACCCCCAGUUGAGAAACCUCCAGUUUACAAGCCACCGGUUUACAAGCCUCCAGUCGAGAAGCCACCAGUUUACGGACCACCUCACCACCCAUAGUACCCUCCCGUAGUUGGCACUACUCGUUUUUAAAGCAUGCUUUUAAGUAAAUAAGAGAUAUAUAAACUUUCCAAAGCAAGGAUCAUAUAUUCUUGGAAAUCUUCAAUUCAAUCUUAUGUUUACAAAUGCUAUUGCCAAGACAAGAGUGUGAAAGAAAAUGGUGCCAUUUGUACUUCAAAUUAUGAAUAAGAACGUUAUGAUUUAGUACUUCUUAUUUUGUGUUUGUUGACUAAAUUUGACAGAGUAUACUUUACUUGUUCCCUAUCAUACCAGUAAGGUGCAUGAAAGUUCAGUCUUGAACGGUGGAAAUAAAUAAUAAUUAAUUAAUGUUUGAAUCUCGAAUUUACUAAAUUAACGAACUUGUAAUUUCAUUGGAAUAUACUUGACUCAGUGGUAGCUUUAGUUUCAACUUGGAAAAUGUCCGUGAUAUGACAAUUUUUCCAAAACAAGUUUAGGUUAAGAUUUUUAUUUUUUAUUUUUGACAUAAUAUACGUUAAGAUUCUUGUGUACUAAUAGAAACUGAAAAAUCAUUUUGGUGCUUAAAGUUUAAUGAGUUGGACAAAUUAUUCACUCAAAUAUGGAAAUGAUAAUGUAGUCUCUUCAAUUAUAGAAUGCCAUUUAAUUUAGUUACCUUUUCAAAAUUAGCAUCACAAUUCGCAAGGUUUUAUAUUUGUGUUGAUGCAUCAGUUAAGAUAAGGAUCACGAAAAUUAGGUUUUUGACUUGGUUUUGAUUAGGGGUGUUUGCGGUGCGUUUUGGUUCGGUUUUGAGCAUAAAAGUCAUCUAAACCUCAAGAUAAAAAAGCAUGCGGUUUGGUUUGAUUCAGUUGAUUUUUAUAUAGUCAUCCAAACAAAACCAAACCAAACCAAUGCGGUUUGGAUUGGUUCGGUUUGUACGGUUUAUCGCGAGAUGAAAAAAUAUUACAUUAACUCUAAUAUUGCCAACUUGUUACAAAAUAAACAUAGGACAUUUUAUUUUGUUGUUUAUAUGAUAAAAUAUUAGGUAAAACUUAUAUCAAAAUAGGUAAAAUUAAGAAGAAACAUAAGCAUGAAACAAAUUAUUGAGAAGUAAAAGAAACAAAUUCAUCACUGAAAAUGAAUUGAAAGAGAUGGAAAGGAAUUAGAAUCGAACCAGAUGGUGCAACAAUGGAAAAAUCUAAUCAAAUGAGAUUAUUCUUGAGCUAUGUAAUUGGGCUAGUACAUGUUUAAGUAAUAUUCAUUAUUCUUGCGGUUUGGUUUGGUACUUGAGAUGCAAACCGCAAACCAAACCGAACCGCGCGGUUCAGUGUAAAAGUCAUCCGAGUUCAUUCGAACCAAGUGCAGUUUUUUGCGGUUUCGGUUUGGAUUGGUUUGGUUUGCGGUUUUUCUAUUGGGUUCGUUCGGUUUUGAACACCCCUAGUUUUGAUCGAUGUUUCCUGAAGAUAUGUUUUGGUAAUUGAACUAAAUAAACUGUCUUACAUUCUUCAAUUAAUGAGAUUAAAUUUCCUUUUUACAAAUAUCAAUGAUUAAUGUCAAGGACUAAAAUGAUGAUUAGUGUCGCGCCAUUUUUCGGAGGUCAAGGCCAUUUGAUUAGCUUUUGACUCACUUUUUAUCUCACGACUGAACAAAAAAUUUUUUAAAGGGGAAAAAGUUUCAAACCACCCAUUUUGAAAAGAUUUAGGGUUCAUGGGUUGGUUAUAUUUAGGGAAGGUAUUAGCACCCUAAAUAUUCGUAGUACUCUAUGAGUACCUCUUGAUUUUAUUUAACUUUUUGUGCUUAAACUUGCUUGCUUUUGAAGAGAUGAAAAUAGAAUUGAAAGAUGAGUUGAAACGAAAAAGAAAAUUGAUUUUAAUUGAAAAGAAAAAAGAAAAUUGUUUUUUAGUUGAUUUGGAAGGACAAGGUCCUCUGCCUACGUACCCGUGAGGGAUCAAAACCUCGUAGUUCGGGGUAGAAAUUGACGUUUGAUUGGUUUUAUAUUUUUUAUUAGUUUUUGAAAAAAGGUUUGAAAUAAAAAGCCAAGUGGCAAAUGAGAAUUGAUUUGUGUUUUUUGGAUUGAAGGAAAUAGACUUGAAGUAGAAUUAAAAUUGAUUUGAGAUUUGAUUAAGAAAGAAAAUAGAAAUAGCGAUCACUUCAUUGAAAGUCAAGGUUUGUUAUAAAAAUAUUUUUUUGUGAUUUUUUGAUAUUUGGAUGUUUUUGCCGUUUUUGAAUAAUGAAUGAAAAUUAAACUAACAGAGCAAUGAAAAUAAAAGUGCGUGGGCGUGAAGAAAAGAUUUUGGUUUAUGUUAGUUCGACAAUAUAAAUAGUAUUUAAUAUAUGUUGUGUUCACUUUGGAUAUUAUCGGACAAAAUUUUGACAAUAAUAAAAAUAAUAAUAGUAAAAUAGAAUAAAAAAUAGAAAGACUAAAGUGAAUCAAAAUGAGAUAAAAAGAUAAAUAUUUAAAACGGAUUUAAAGUUAAUAAAAGAUGGAAACUAAAAUUAAAUGAAAUUUGAAAAUUGAGAGAAGAGGGUCCGACUUGGAACCAAAUAUGAGGUAUUUUAAAAUACCUUCCUAUCGAAAUUUUGUUCGAAAGGCUGAGACCGGUCGGAGUUAAAUGACACGUGUCAGUGCUGCCUUAGGUCAAAAAUUGGGGUAUGACAAUUAGCUCAAUAAUUAAUUAUUGUGAUUUCUUCAUUUUAUAUUUAUAUUUAAGAAUAAAAAAAAAAAAAUGACGAUAUCAACUUUGACACAUUACAUAUUCAAUCAAUGUUGACUUGACCAUCAAUGCUACAUAUCCGGAUGUAAGAGUAGUUCGACGAGUUUAUUUUUGUCACUUUUGUUGAUAUUUUGUUGGUUUAUGCUAUUAACUUGCAUCUAGUAAACUUGUUCAUAGCUUCAUCAUUUUCAGUUUUAGUGACAUGAUAUUUGUGUUGUAUUCAAUGUGAUUUACCGCGCGAUAUGAAUAAUAUAUAUUUUUAGUCAAAAUUAAUCAUGUCGGACCUGAGAUCUUUGGUUUGAUGGCGUUGAACGACCUUUGAGUAAGACAAUGUUAAACCAAAAUGAGUUUUAUACAAUGCCUCUGAAGUUUUGAUAAUAACAAAGUAUAAAAAGAACAAUUGAAUAUGCCAAUGUUGUUCAAGUAUGCUCGACCAUAUAUUAAAAUUCAAAGUAUUAAAUCAAGUUUUGAUUCUGAAAGAACAAGAUUAUGAACAUAUACAAGAGCAUCUGCAACUUAUGAGAAGCUGGAAAUUUGGAUCAGACUCUGAAUAAGUAAGACUGUGAAAGUCGGGAGUGUAACACCCUGAACCCCACAUACUAUUUUUAAAAGUAAUAAUUCAACAUUUAAAUAAACAUAUCAAGAUGUUACUCUUCAUUUUCAACACAUAACAAGUCUCCAUCUUAAAAUAUCAACUCACAGCGGAAAUAAGUCUCAACAACACAAAUGUCAUACAUCAUAUCUCAGAAUAAGUACAUCAUCAAAAUAAACUCAAGGUUCCUCAAACAUAAUAUGAUAACAUAAAUAAAAUCCCAACAUCCUAAUCAGAGAACCACUAGACAAGACUCCAAAAUCAAAGCGGUAAAAGAUGAGUAGGCUGCAAGCCGUCCUCGGAAACUCAUGGUAACUUUGCGUCCUCAACCUGCAAGUCUCCACCACAAGGGCGUAGGCGACCAUUUGCCAAACGUAGGGUAAGAUAUAAAUUUAACAUAGAGGAAAUAUGAACACAUAUAUAGUAUUAGGAUCGCAACAUCAUAUACAAGUAUUCAUCUUAAGCAAUACCAUAUUAACAUGCAUUCUCAUUGAUUGGUAAAAUAUACACAACAAAUCUCAAAUCAUCAUCACAAGAAUAUAAAAAAGUAAACACAUCAUUGAUUAAUCAUCCAAUGGAAUACAUAGGAUUCACACAUUAUCACUUUCAUUAAAUCACACAUUUUCCAUAAAAUACACAUAGUCAUGUAUGCAUCUUUCACAUAGAUUCACAUAGUCAAGUACUCAUCUUCUACAUAGACUCUCAUGUACGAAAUGUUCCUACUCGACUUUAUAUGCAUGUGGUACUGUUUUCGAUAUCAGAGGUAUUUUCUGAGUGAUUUCACCGUCACUUGGACUGACCAUGAAUGCAUGAACAUCUCAUCAUGACUCGACAAUGCAUAAUUCAUAUAACUCGACAAUUUACAUCAACAACAUCAUCACAUCGUAUAUUAAUUCAUCGUCGCUAUAUCAUCAUCAUCAUCAUCAUCAUCAUCAUCAUCAUUUUCAAUGUCAUUAUAUCAUCAUCAUCAUCAUCAUAUCAACAUCUAUAUAUAGUUCAAAUCAUCAUGUCAAACCAUAUCAAUAUGUAUCCACCUCGUCUCGCAAUCACAUUCACAGUCAUCAUCAUUAUAUAUUCAUAAGACAUUAUUCUACAUCAUCAAGUAUACUUCGUUAAUCAUCUAACAAGUUCACAGUCAUUUCAUGAUUCAAUUAUAAUUAAAUCACAAGUUUAUUUCUAACCAUUUCAAUUGCUAAGUUUACUUCCAUCAUAAGCUAGGUUAAUUACUCUUACACAUCAAAAUUAUACUUCUAUUAAUCAAGUUUAGAGGUUUGUGACAUAUUCACAUGCAUUGGAUACCUUAAAAUACCAAAAAUAUGAGUUUCCCACUAUAGGGAGGGUUGCACGGUAGUGCCAUCCAGGUGCACAGUCGUGCUCAUCAUGCAGGUAGGGAAAAGCUAUAAUUUUUGCGUUUUGCUCAGGAAGAACCCCUUUCAACACCAUUUUUCGAUCCAAUUCACACCAAACUAGACCCAAAUCAUAAAACUAAUGUUGUCUAAUCAAUUACACAUUAAUUUUACCUUAACUAACUUUAUUAUACUCAUUAUUAUCGUCAAUUAACAUGAACUUCAAUUGUUUUAAACUUAUCACUUCAAACCCAUUUUUAACAUGGUAAUUCAAACCCCAAACAUAGUAACAACCAAAUCAACAUCCCUUAUUCAAAAUGAACACAAAAAAAUUCAUCAAUUCACAUUAUAAACAUCAACUCAACAAUUAUCAACAAUUAUCAUGAAUUUCACCAAUUUCACAUAAAACUCAAAAACCCUAAUUCACCAUAAUCAAACAUUGAUUUUAACACAACUGUUAGGUUUGUAGUCUUGACAUGUUGGUGCGACAUCAUAGCGUGCCUUGUUCCGAUUUCUUGGAGAUUGUAUUUAAAUGUGAAAUCGCAGAAGAAAACUAAACGCAUCACAACUAAGAAAAGGUAGAAUAAAACCUUUCUACAAACAAAGCGCACAUCACUUGAAAGCAAAAUAAAUACGCAACUAAAUUUCAAAAAAGAUAUGCAUAAAUUAUCAUAGAAUAAGGCACCAAGUAACACGUUCUUACGUCUCAGAUUACCAAAUGGCUCUCCGAAAAAUAACCAGAGUAUGAUAAAAUUACAGAUUUCCCAAAACAAAAGGAACAUAAACUAAAAUACAAAGCACGAAAACAAAGAAGACACAACAACAUAACUCUUCAUCCACUAACUUUCCAUCAACCAAAAUCUUGGAGGGGUCCAGCUCGCUCACAUUAUCAUCAGGGUUAAAAUGCAGAACUUGCGCCCUAGUAUGCUCAAAGCCAUUGUCAAAAUAUAAGGCAAGAUCCCCCUUGCCAUCCUCAACGACGAAUUGAGCUUUGGCGAGAUCCCCUUACAACUAGACGACCUUCUUCUUCCAUGAAUCUCUCUCCAGCUCAACAACUUCUUUUUCAUCCUUCAUAUCUUUGGUCGUCUUCUCUGCAGUCUUCUUAUCCUCCAAGGCUUCCUUCAACCUACUUUCAAGACCCGUUGCUUUAUGCUUCCACUUCUCCACAUCUUCAUGAGCGUCUUUAUACUUUGCCUCUAAAGCACCAUGUUUCUUCUCCAUCACUUUUCCUAAUAAAAGGACCCGGAGCACUAAUAUUCUUGUAUCCAUUACUAGCUCGCCAAAUUUGCUUUUAACGCCAGCAUCAACGUCAACCUUAGACAGUGGCACUUUAUCCUCCAUGUAGCUACGAUAAACGCAUGACUUAAAAGUUGAAAACCCACUAACAUUACUAGAAUUUAAGUAAAAUCUCAUCAUCAAAUUAAACUCUCAUACCUACGAAAGUCGAAAUCUUUAUGCCAAAAAGAGUCAGCCACCUGAACAUUCAGAGAAAUGGUUCCCGCCACCCCGCUAGCAUAAUCAUCAUCCUUCCGACUGGCAACAAAUGUCCGCUUCGAGUCGCCCUUCCCAGUCCUCAUCUUCUUGCGUCUGGGCGAGUCAGUUUGCUCAGCCAGUACCCCAUUGCCUGCCGUCUCCAUGUUAUCAAUGUCCAUAUCCGAAUGUAACAUCCUAAAAUUUUAAGUCUAUAUUCAAAUGUAGUUAAAAAUAUAAAACAUAAUAGUGUAAUUAUUUUAAAAUACGCGAAGAUAAAAAUAAAGACAAAUAAAUAUGAUAUAAUUUCUUAUUAAUAAUUAAAUUUUAUUGGAUAAAAAGAAAAGGAGAAAGAAAGAAAAACAAAAAUAAAGGGAGUGCAAAUAACAAUUAUUUUUAGAAAAGAAAAAAAAAGUUAUAUACUUUCUCGAAUUUUUUUUCUGCCCUUGUUUAUGCAAAAAAAUACAAAAAUGCCCCACUUUUUCGAAAAAUUGCGUAAAUGCCCUACUUUUUCAGAAGCCCCUGGUACUACUCCACUUGGAGUUGCGGGGUACCCUAAAAAGUCACAAUUUUUUUGUCCUUAUUGUACGCCGCUACUUGGACUUGCGGGGUACUUUCCUACUUUUUUUUUUCCACUUUUUUUACUACCCCGCGAGUCUUAGCUUUUGCUUUUUUUUUUAAAAUUUUUUUUUUUUAAAUACCCCUCUACUUGGAGUAGAGUGGUAUAAUGAAGACAAAAAAAAUUCAACGUGUAAUAAUUACUCUCAAAUAAUAAAAAACUAAUUAAAAUUAUAUAACCAAUAAAAUACCAUCUACAAUGAUUAUAAAUGCCCGGCUGUCCCACACCUUCGUCUUCGACGAUCUCUUCCGCGAUUUACUUGAGGGUUAUGUUGGUCUUCGUCAUUUUUAUUUGUAGUUGAUUGUAUCUGACUACCAUAACCCAGUGACAACGACACAUCGUGUUCUCUUGUUGGCCAUCCCAUAUCCAGAAAUUGUUCAUUGGAGUUCAACGAAGUCGGAGAGAAGUGAGAUAAUAGGUUUGUUGGUGUUGGUGGGUGGUUGUAGUUUUGGUUGGUGUACAUUGGGUAUUGUGGGUUGUUGUAGGGGGGUAAUUGGUGUUGGACGGUCCAGCUUGGUUUGGGUCAUUAUAGGAGAAGUAGUUGUUGUUGGAUGUGUUAGCUUGGUUUGGUUCAUUGUAACCAUAAUUUGUCAUUGAAUUUUGUUGGUAAGUUGACUGAUAUUGGGGCUCAUAUGCAUUUCUCGGGGAGGUAUAUGGUGGUGGUUGGAUGAUAUUUUGUUGGGGGGUGUCGAGAAAUUCAUACAUUACAGAACCAUGAAUGUUUUGUGUUGUAUGUGGUUGGGAUUGAUGAUCUUGUAGUUGAGAAAAAAUGUCUUGAUCCCAAAAAUCAUCAUGAAUUGGUGUUUGGUUGUUGUGAAUUUCAGGUUCAUGUUCCGGCUCCGGCUCUUCUUGUUCGUCUGGAUCUGAAUCUGAUGGUUUUGUCUCAACUGAAAUCCUUAGACGUGGGUUGCAUGUGGUUGUCAACCACUCAAUAUACGCAUGAGUUGGGGUGAGUGAUCUUGGCCGCAUGUGAGGUAAAAUAUAACUCCGUCGGUUGUCCCAAUGUAAGCUCUCUUGUGGAAAGUGAAAACCAUUUGAUUGGUACCACAUCUUGAACCGUUUGUCCACUAUAUGGAAUUGUCGCAUGUCUCGUGGGGCCCCUGGUAUUUCCUGUGGCAAACCAAAUUCUAGCUUGACCCUAUCAGUUGGAUGCCAUUCAACUCUGUCAAAACAUAUAAGGUGAGUUGUUGCAGUCCACUCCCAAUAGUCUUCAGGAAAAUUGUGUGGAACAUUCUUGUAUGGUCUCCAUUUAAACUGGCAGAAGAGAGAAGUUGUAGUGUAAGGUUAACAAUUUUGAUAUAUAUAUAUAUAUAUAUAUAUAUAUAUAUAUAUAGUUCGAUAGGUGAAAUAUAUAUUCAUUAUUAAUUAAAUAACUCCUAAUUAAAUACUUGUAAAAAAACUCAUGAUUAAAUAAAUAAUUAAUUUAUAAUCGCGACAUUUUUUUAGUCCUAUAUUAAUUGCAUGUCCUACUUUUUUUUUUCUUACAAAAGAAAGUUAACAUAUAGCUUUUUAUUUCUUUACGACCAUGAAAGUGUUAAUAUGUAGCUUAAAUAACAAAAUAUCUUAAUUAUAUUUAAUUAGACCAUGAAAGUUAGUUUACCCUUGAAAUUACAUAAAAAAAAAAUUACCGUUCAAUAUAUAUAUAUAUAUAUAUAUAUAUAUAUAUAUAUAUAUAAACUCAUACAUUCAAAAAUCAAUUAUAAUAUUACUUGAUGUUCCAGUAUGUCAUCAAACUUUUUUCUGUAAGAUAUAGUGUCAUGGCUUGGAUUCUCGUAGUAUCUUGAACCUGCACCUGUCCAUCUAACAAAUGAUAUAAACAAAUUAGUAGCUAAUUUAUCAAAUAAUAAUAUUAAUAAGAAGCGAGAAUAUGCGAGGAAAUUAACAAAAAAAAUAAAUAAAUUAAUUGACCACGAUUACUUUAAUCCUAGCGGCUACUGGAGUGGGUUAUCAUUUCUCGGAGCGAUAUAACUCAACCGACAAUAUCCCCAAACUUGUAACAGAAAAUGACAUCCAGAUAGUGCUUUUAUAUUUGGGUGUGAUGCCUCACACAAGCCACGAUAAAGGUAAGCCAAAACUGCCGAUCCCCAACUAUAAUUUCUUGUUUCAUUAAAAUCCAUUAACAAAUACAACCAAGAGUUGUGCACAAAUAAUCCAGUUGUAUUAGGAAACAAGAACCCUCCAAAGAGGUAUAGUAGGUACCUCCUGUGUGUUGUAUUUUUACCUCCGGAGGAGAUUGUUCACUGAAGUUAUUAUCGACCAGAUUAUCCUUUAAUCACGACAACGAGAGAGUAAAACCAUCAGUUUUGUGUGCUGGAGGAGUUAUUCCCAACAAUUGAGCACAAUUAUUCCACAGAAGAUUUGGAGGAGCCGUAACAAUUGGUCCUCCAAAAGGUAAGCCGAGUAAAAUAUAUACGUCUUCAAACGUGAUUGUACAUUCACCCGUUCGAAAAUGAAAAGUAUGUGUUUCGGACCGCUAUCUUUCUACAAGAGUGGUUACGAUGUGCCUAUCAAUUUUGUAACGCCCUAUUUGAGAAACCUCAAAAAAUCCAGCUUGACGUAGAUAAUCUUCAAUAUAAGGACUUGGUAUGAUGUUUUGCCGUGUACGAGUGGUUAGAGGUGCACCCUCUGCAUCCUAACAAAAAAUAAUAAAGGAAUAAAAUUAAAACAUAAUCAAAAUAUAAAUUUAAAAAAACGUGAACAUAUUUAAAUUAAUAUUAAAAAAUAAAAAUGACAUUAACAAAUUAAUAUCUAUAUAUACCCAUCUUCUUAUAUGUUCUUCCAUGGAUCUAUGAUCAUUUUCCAACCACAAGUAUGCCAUUGCUUUAUAGAAUUUGAUUGAAAUAAUCUCUUAUGUGAGUGAGUAAGGAAAGGAUUGAGAUAAGUAGAAUAUGUGUAAAGAGUAAAAAUAUAGUUGUGGUAUUUAUAAUGUAAAACUAUGUGUAAAUGGUAGAAGUAGUAGUGUGGUAUUUUAAUCAAUGAAGUGAAGAGUUCCUGUGUUACUACUGCAACGCAUGCAAGCCAACAGUGUUCAAAUAAACAUAGAAAUGACAAUUGCAUCAAUAGCAGAAGCAUGGUGUUCAACAAUAUUGAAUUAAUUCGUAAACUUUGCCUCAUGAGAUGACCAUUGCAUGUAAAAAAUACAUUAAUUUCUUGCAAGAAAUUUUUGACUGAAAUGACCAAUGCAUGUUUUGAUCACGUGAAGCAUGCUAGCAAACAAAUGGCCGACAAGCUGCCUCUGAAUAACCAAUAGGAACGGCGCGUGCAAAUACUACCCCGCCACUCUGGGUUGCGUGGUACCCCCAGCUGGCGCAUGCUUUACAUACCCCGCCACUCCAGCUUGCGUGGUACCCCCCAGCUGGCGCGUGCUUUACCUACCCCGCUACUCUAGCUUGCGUGGUACCCUCUAGCCCGCUAGUCCAAACUGCGUUGUACCUUUUUUAAUUUUCCCGCUCGAAGGGCAGAUUAAAUUACAUGUUAGUAUAAAUAAAAGUGGUCUGCAUGAUAUCAUUGUAUCAAACCAUUCUACUUCAUACUCUUACUCAUUUCUUAAGAUCAAACCAAUUCAAUGGCACCAAAUAUAAACGUUUUUGUGUACUAUAAUGGAGAAGUUAAACAAAAUGAAUCCGGUAUUUUUUUUCAAAGUCAGUAUACCAAAGGUUUUAAAGUCAGCAUGGCUAGUACUUACUUGCAUCUCAAAAGAAGAAUUGCGGAAAAAGUAUGUCUCGAAGAUAAUAUGGUUGUGUCUGAAAUUAUGUGUCGGAAUCCUAUGUUUGUUGGAACUACCACAAUUCAUUACCAGGCGUUAAGAAUAACUGAUAACGACGAUGUCGAGUUUAUGUUUAACGUACAUAAAAGUCACAGUUCUUUGUCCUAUAUAGAGCUUUAUGUUACGUUUGAGAUGAAGAAUCCAACAUCUAAUUUUGAGUUAAAUUACCCAUCGAGUUCUAGUCAACACCAAAGUCUACCACAACACUACAAUCCGUCAUCGUCGCAAGAACACUACAACCCAUCAUCGUCCCAACCGCACUAUAACCCGUCUCCCAUUUAUGAUGCAUCCUUAUCGCAACCUUUUCAGUCAAAGUGGUCACAAAAUGUGUACGAACCAUCACAAAUAAUAACUCAACCUCAUCCCUCUCAAACACCAUCUCGUUCAACACAACCCAAAACCUUAAACGAUGAAAUCAAUAUAUUCACCUCCCAAUUUCAAGACCAACCAAAUGAUGAAGUUCAAGAUGAUGAAGACGAUGAUGAUGAAGAACUCCUUGCCGCACAAAACGGUGACGAGAACGAAGAAGACGAAGACGACGAUCUGCCACUACUACCAAUUUUACCAAUCAGAGCUUCUUACAACCCACCAAGGUCCAUGCGCAACGUCAAUGAUGACCACUCAACUGAACUUUAUCAUUCAAUGGCUCUUCCGGUCGAUCAAGGUAUUGCCCUAGGGAUGCAAUUUCAUAACAAGAAUGAUUGCAUUCUCGCAAUUAAAUUUUAUCACAUGAAAAAAUCAACGGAUUAUAUUGUGAAAAAAUCAGAUCCUGAAAGGUAUGUCAUCAAAUGUAAAGAUACAAAAUGUGGUUUCAAAUUGCGGGCCUCGUGGAGGAAAAAAACUGAUAAAUGGGAGAUUGGGAAAAUGAAUGAUCAUACAUGUGUCUCAACAGAAAUGACGCAAGAUCAUCAUAAACUUAGUUACAAUGUGAUAUGUGAAAGUGUUAAAUCACUACUACAUAUGGAUACUUCAAUUACAGUGAAGGUUAUAAUUGCACACAUCCGAGAGAAGUUUAAUUACACAGUUUCAUACAGAAAGGCAUGGAGAGCACGGAAUAAGGCGAUUAAAUCAAUUUAUAGUAAUUGGGAGGAGUCUUAUGAAGAACUACCACAAUGGUUGAUGGUCAUGGAAAAAGAUUUGCCAGGAACAAUAAUUGAUUUUCAAACGGACCCAUCAACAGAAGUGGCAAAUGAGACCGUCUUCAAGCGUCUUUUUUGGGCCUUUCGUCCGUGCAUCUCAGGUUUCGAAUUCUGCAAACCAAUUGUCCAAAUUGACGCAACUUGGUUGUAUGGUAAAUACAAGGGAACAUUGUUGUUAGCUGUUGCGCAAGAUGGGAACAACAAGAUAUUUCCCAUAGCUUUUGCAAUCGUGGAAGGCGAGACCAAGGAGGCAUGGAGUUUCUUUUUGAAAAAUUUAAGGCAGCAUGUCACCCCACAAGAGAACAUAUGCCUCAUUUCUGAUAGACAUGUGUCGAUAAAGAGCGCGUAUGAUGAUCCACAGAAUGGAUGGCACGAUGCUCCGACAAGCCAUGUUUAUUGUGUCCGACACAUUGCACAAAACUUUAUGAGAUCAUUCAAGGAUGGAGAACUAAAGAAGAAAGUUGAAUGCAUGGGUAAAAAUCAUAUCUCUUUCCACGUAAAUUCGACAUUUUAUUUGUUUAAAAUGACACAUCUAACUUUUUUCAAAACAAUGCAGGUUACGCCAUGAACAUCCCUACAUUCGAAUACUACCGUUCUGAAAUUGCUGUUGCAGACCGAAAGGCUUUAGCAUGGGUCGACAAUAUUCCCAAACAAAAGUGGACUCAAUCACAUGAUGAUGGUCGACGAUGGGGCCAUAUGACAAGUAACUUGGUAGAGUCACAAAACAACGUGUAUAAGGGUAUUCGAGGACUUCCGAUCACAGCUAUCGUGAAAGCAUCAUAUUACAGGUUGGCGGCCUUGUUUGCUAAAAGAGGACAUGAGGCAGCGGCAAGGGUAAAUUCUGGUGAGCCAUUCUCAGAAAACAGCAUGAAAUAUCUCAGGAAUGAGGUGAUUAAAUCCAACAGUCAUCAUGUCACACAGUUUGACCGGGAUCGGUAUACCUUUUCCGUCCGUGAAACCAUCGACCAUAAAGAAGGAUUGCCAAAGGGAGAAUACAAGGUGGACCUGCAAAAUAAAUGGUGUGACUGUGGACGAUUCAGAGCGUUACACCUACCAUGCUCACAUGUCAUUGCCGCAUGUUCUAGCUUUUCUCACGACUACAAGACUUUUGUCGAUAACAAAUUCACGAAUGAGUGUGUAUACGCCGUAUACAACAUCCACUUCGACGUGGUUCACCACCAGACAUAUUGGCCUAAUUAUGAAGGACUGAAGGUGGUUCCCAACAAGUCCAUGUGUAGGGUAAAGAAAGGUCGUCCACCAAUUACUCGCAUUAGGACCGAGAUGGACGAUGUGGAAACUGAGAGAAGAUGCGGCGUUUGUAGGAUGCCUGGUCAUUCCCGCAAAGAUUGCAUUAAUAUUAGACACCAGUAAAAAUCUAGUCUUUAUUUCGUUUGUAGGAUGUAUGGUCAUUUCCACAAAUAAUUGUAGAUUUUAUGGUAUUUUAUUGGUUAUAUAAUUUUAAUUAGUUUUUUAUUAUUUGAGAGUAAUUAUUACACGUUGAAUUUUUAUUUUUUUUUGUCUUCAUUAUACCACUAUACUCCAAGUAUUUAAAUUUUUUUUUAAAAAAAGCAAAAGCUAAAACGCAAGUCCAACUUGCGGGGUAGUAAAAAAAGUGGAAAAAAAAAAGGAAAGUACCCCGCAAGUCCAAGUAACGGGGUACAAUAAGGACAAAAAAUUUGUGACUUUUUAGGGUACCCCACAACUCCAAGUGGAGUGGUACCAGGGGCUUAUGAAAAAGUAGGGCAUUUGCGCAAUUUUUCGAAAAAGUGGGGCAUUUUUUUAUUAUCUUUGCAUAAACAAAGGCAGAAAAAAAAAAUUCUACUUUCUCCCCACGUUUUCUCAAAAUUUGUUUCUAAAAUAAUAAUAAAAAAAGAAAUAGUUAUUUCAGAAAGAGAAACCGUGUGAUAUUUUUUAAUUAGUGUACACCUACACUUCUCAUGUGCCUAUAAAUAAGAUGCUUAGUUGAACAUAAACUCACACUACAAAACUCUCCUCUCUCUAAAAAAUCAGGUUAGUUCUCUCUCUCUCUCUCUCUCUCUCUCCUUUUCUGAACUUUCUCUAUUCAAUCUAUAGUCAUUCUUUAUUCUUUUGAAAGAGACAAGAUUUACUACUAAAAUAACCUCAGAUUUGGUCCCCACAACCCUUCUUUUGGGAAGAACAACAACAUAGUAUACCCUUCUUUUGGGAAGAACAACAACAUAGUAUUAGAAUGUUCUUUUAUCAGAUGAGAAAGUGACAGUAGUUUAGUUCUUUUCAACCUAAUCAAACCAUGAAAAUAGUUUAGCUCUUUUCAACCAUUCUUUUUCAACAGAAACAUCAUUCAAUAAAAUAAAAUAAAGAGAUCUCAGAUCUGUUUUAGACUUUUAGUAGAAAAAAUUACACGAUUUAAUUAUUGUAUUUUUUAUACUGAUACAAACUAUGAAGAUUGAAACAAAGUUCAUAAGAAAGUUGAGAUCUUGUUUAAUUCAUAUUUUUAGUUUAAAGAAAAAUAAAGAAAUGAACAUUGUUUUAAGAAUGACGUAAUGACUAUUAAAUGGCUUUUAAACAUUCUGACUAUAUAAAAAGGUAGUAACAUAAGUUUCAUUUGAAAUAAAAUAAAAUCAAGCUAUUAUUAAAAUAUAUCUAAUAUAAUCUGAAGAAAAAAAAAGGACGUGAUACAGAGAAACAAAGGAAUUAGAAAACUUUAACUCGUUAUCUCUAUUAUUAUGACCUUGAUAAUGACUAUAGUCUAAUAGAUAGUUUAUUUUGGGUGAGUAUUCUAGGUGAUAUUGGAGCUGCUUUCGACGGAAACAAUAUUGCAACCACUUGCGAAGAAUCCGAAGGUAAGGGGAAUUACUACUAAUAAAUUUUAAAGAUUUUGCAUAAGUUAUGUGCUUAAGUGAUUAUAUGUGAGUAAAUAACUCUACUUGUGAGAGUUAAUUUCUCGAUGAUGUGGUAAUUUCUAGCGAUCAAGUACAUGUCAAAGGACAUCGACUUAUAUGUGUUUUAGUUAAUAUAAUUAGGAGUUUUUGAAAAUAUAAUACAUAAGUAGAAGAAAAAGUUUUGUAAAUGAUGAAUUGAUUAGAUAGUUAUAUUAUGUUUAUUUGGUAUUACUCUUGUGUAAGUGAAUGAGCAUAUGAAUUUCAAUAAGUGUUAACUGAUUUCGAUGAGUGAAAUUAGUUGGAAAUAUAUGAUUUAAAGUGUCAAUUAUGAUUCGACGCGAUAAUUUAUAAUGUUAAUCAUGAUUAAAAACUUCUCUAUAAAAAGAAAUGAUCUAAGAGAGAUAGUUGUAUCCCACCUCAUUAAUUUUAUGGUAUCAACUCAUAGGUAUGUUGUAAAGGAAAGAAACUUAAGAAUGCCAAACUAUGAUCACUAACUUAGUACGUAGACAUAGUAUAUAUAGUUAUAUUGUACGUGUAGGAAAUUCUUUAAAACAAAUGUAUAUGUGCUUUUUAACUAGGCAACAUGAAUUAUUCUUUGUUAAAAUCUCAUGAAUAAAAAGAACAUGUACUAGUUUAAUUGAAUUACCUAAGUUCUUACUUACUGCUGAAAUUUCUAUGCUUAUAAAUAAAUGAAAAAGAACAUAUGCUGGUCAUUAAUUGUUCAGUUAUUAUGUACUGGCUUGAUUUACUUGCUGGAAUUUCUAUGCUUAUACAUAAAUGAAGAGGGACAUAUGCUGGUUAUUAUUUGUUGAGUUAUUAUAUACUGGUUUGAUUUACAUCACUGUACUAAUUGAAUAAAAUUCUGAUGUGGCUAAUCAAUUUUAUAAACAUAAAUGGUUAAUUGUUUGACAUUGUUGAGUUGAAUAUGAGUGUUUUGUCUUGUCUAGAAAGUAGGGACAAUUAAGGAGCUAUAACAGGUCCCUAUACACUCAGGUGUAGAUGAGAAUGAGGAUAGUUAUGGUUUGGUUACUUUGAGGAUCUAUCGAGGGCACUUGUGUUUCGAACGCCUAUCAAUAGUUGGGGAUUGCUUCCCGGCUGAAAGUACUCGUACUACCAGACACGGUGAGCCUGAAAAAACUAGACUAUCUAUGAUAAGGUAGUGCGAUCGGACUAGAAUGAUUAGAGUUUAAGCAUAUCUUGCUCAAAAUACUAAUAAUCAUGAUAUAGUUGCCGAAACGGCCUUAUGCUCAUUAGAGUGGAACCUCCAUGGAGUAGUGAAUUAUGAGAAGAAAAUAAACUAGAGUCAAGAAAAAAAAAGUCAAAAGAGUUCAUGCAUGUGUCAUGUUGAAUGUCAAACUAUUAAUUCAAAUUGGACCUCUUAAAAGAUAGUUUUUUUUUUUUUUUUUUUAUAAUAUGCUUUGUGAUUGUUGUUGGACAGUGAAUGAAAAGAAAAUAUUAUAUCUAUGUAAAUAUCAUUUUACCUUGCUGUAUAUAUAUUAUUUUCUUUUUCCUUAUGUAAUAAAUCACGUGGAAAACUUGUGUACGAGUAAUUCACCCUUCUUUGUUUGUUUUUGUAUCUUGUUGUUUUUUUUGGGUAUGUUCGGACGUUUUUAUAGAUGAUGCCAGAAAGACAUUUAGCUCACUCGGGAACCCGCAUGAUCGAGUUCCUUGAGGUAUUUUCUUUUGCAACACUUAUUAAAGAAGAAAGUAAUAAUAAAUCAAAACACUCACACAAAGACGCCUCAAGACUAUUGGAAUCACCCUAUCGUAUCAAAAGCUCAUGAAUAUCCAUAAGUAAAAACUUCUCCAAAAAGAACACCAUACCCUACUCAUAGGGUGCCAUCUUAUUAAAAUCAUACCCCAUCACUGCAAUCGGAGCAAUGAUCCAACAUAAAGGAAACUUUGGUUUUCCUUCCACCAUCACCAACGAAGUUGAGCCCUCAGGCUCUCCUUGCACCCUAACAAACGAAUCACACCAAUCCUUCUUAAAGUUAGAAGCAUAAGGAGGGAAAAGUUUUUUACUAGGAUAGGCACUAAUUGAAACCCACAUUCCCUUGUUUACAUCUUUCGUCCUAUAAAAAUGGAAGAAGACGCCAACAGAAGGCUCCAAACUCAUCCUUACAAAGUAGUUUGAAUCCACGAAUAAACGCCUAGCUAUUAGGACGUAUUUGCGAAGGCGCCACAUUCAGAAACUUUAGCACAUCCAUCUCAAAAUCCGUAAAGGGUCGUCACCCCAAACUCUUCCAACACCGUCAUAUACAUAAGAAAGGAAUCAUCCCUGACACCCUCCAAACGCUGAUCGCACACUCUCUCGCCUACAUCACAGGGCGACACUGUCACAUCUUUCUCGUUCUCAGUAGCAGAAGUAUCCAUCUUGUUUCAGAAUAAAUUGAUAUCCGAAGGCGACAUAUAUGAAAACACCGCUCGAAGAACUUCUUCAGCUAAAUGAUUCAUCUCCAACUCAUAAGAAUACGUCAAACACAUAAUCUCUUUUUGAGUAGACGGAAGAGGCAUAUAAUGACAAAUCUCUUGACAAGUUUUCCCCCUACGACAAAUCACUAUCACUACCAUUAGAGCUAUCGCUACUAGUGUUGCUAUCAUUGGACAAUUCCCCUAAAACCCUACGAUAAAAAAGCCCUAAUUCGUAAGCUUCCCAAUCAAUCAAGUCAUUAGGAUGUGUUGCAUGUCUUAAAGAAUCUCUCCUCAGUUGGUCUCUCUCAUCAAAAUUCGUAGGAGAGAAGGCGAAAAAUGAGAGAAGGAAAAUGGAAGAGUACUUGAGAAGAUUGAAAACGUGAGCUUAGAAAUCCAGACAAUCAGCUGGCAAGUGCGCGAAUACGGAGAACUAAAAGGCGAAAAAUGCGGAAGUGAAAUGAGGAAAGGAAGGAAAUGAAGGGUCAAAGAGUUUUAGAGGACAACAACAAUUAAAACCCCCUCAAAAAACACGCUCAUCCUUGGCACGAUUGGAGACACGUGUCAAGAUACACCCAGAUUCGAACACGUCACUAUCAUCGAAAGGUCACACAUUUUGGACCAUACAAUCAUGUUAAAAAUGAAAGAUCUCGUCGAUAUAGAAUUUCAAAAAACUCGUUGCCAACUCCUCAAACAGGAAACUUACUCGCCGUGCUGUUACAAAUCACUUCGCCUUGUCCCAAGACUCGUGGUUGGGGGCUGUGAACAAACAUCAGGCAUAAAACGCAUGACUCGACUAGCACACACCCUAGGGGGCUCUAGGAUAAAGCAUAAUCACCCAAGGGGGACUCUGUAAGCUCCAACAACAACAUCCAAAGACAUACACAAAAAAUACUGAUAAACGUAAAAUAAAUUCCAAAUGCUAAUUAAUCAUUUCGCCUUGUCCCAAGACUCGUGCUUAGGAGGCUUUGGACCGUCAAUAUCUUCUUAAGGACCUAGAAGUCCUCCCAAAGGGCAUUUAGACCCUCCUAGAUGCCUAACACCCUUCAAAAGGGCUCUAAGGCCCAACACGCGCCCUUCCUAGGGAGCCGCCUCUACCAGCUUCUAAAACCUCCAAAGCUCGGCCUAAAUACCUAAUACGAUUACAAACCCUAAUACCUCAUUACGUAUAGCUUAAGAACCAUAAAUCAGGCCAAUAGAGGGCUAUAAAUACAACCUUUGAGAGCCUUCUGAAGGCAUGACCAAUACAUUACAAACCCUAAUACGAUUAUUGUACUUUUGCAAGUACAAUGAGGAAGGCGAUAUUGACAGGGAAAGUUUCCACCUAAUUUGGGCUAAAAACAUGGACUUUUGGGGGUAAAAAAGUCACAAAAAGUGACUUUUUUCGCAAGGAGCAGGGCGCCUAGCGCAUAAUGGCAUGCACCUAGCUCAUGUUCCUGCUAGGCUGAGGCGCCUAGUGCCCCUUUCAUGCGCCAGACGCUUCAGUUGUUUAGCUUAGGGGCACCUAUUGUGCACCUGGGUGCAUAAGUGCCUUUUCAGUGCCUUUUCAGUGCUGUUUUUCUUGUUUUCUUUGCCUUUUGAGGUGUUUUCUUCAAUGUAAGAUGUCUUGGAACUUGAGAACAAAAUUCCUUCCUUUGUAAAGACUUCUGAGGCAUCUUGAAUCUUCAUUAUUCAUCUUCCCAAGGUCCACAUAAAUCUUCAAAUGUCUUGCAUUGUCUGAUUUGCUUGAUUUCUUCGUGAAUUACUUCAACAACACCCUAAAAUUGCUAUUUUUCAGGAAGAAUAGAAUUACAAACUCAAUAUAAAAUACAUUACAAAUGUACCGAAAUCAUAGGCAAUUGAUCAAAUACUCUUCUUCUUUGCUGGUAAAACCUACUGAAAUUGACUGAAAAAUGUAACAGCCCUAUUUUCGUUAGAUUUAUUUUAAUUGUUUUAAUAUGUGUUUAUUUAUGCUUAUGUGUGAUUAUUAUCAUUGGGUGCAUUUUUAUGGGUUUUCGUGUUGGAAGGAUAAUUUAGUAAUUUCAUGUAAGGAUUAUUUUUAGUGUUUCAAGUGAGAACCAUUAUUUACUAAGUUACUAGUGUGGUAAUUAGUUGUGAGCCGGUAAGUGAUCGUUGUUAUUAUUUUACCGUUAAGGGAGUAGAAACAUUUUAGAAUUAGUGAAUUAGUGGGUUAAGCCCACUAAGGCAUUAGGGUUAAACCCAAUUGAGAAGAGCCUAUAUAAGUUCUAGAUUUUAGAGAAAAAUAGGUUUCCACUUCAUUUCAUAAGAAUUUUGAGAGAGGUAGAGAUAGAAAGUUCAAGAGAAGAGGAAAAUGGUUAGAAGGGAGAAAAGCUUGAAGACUCAAGAGGUGAUAGAGAUUCUAGGACCUAAAUUGAAGCUUUUGCUAGGAUUUUUGCUAAUUGAGGUAAGGGGGUUAGAUUUCAAUCAUAAUAACUUAGUUGUAGCUUUUACCCUAAUUUCAUGUAUAAAUGCUUAUUUGUAUAAAGUGAUUAUUAUGAAAUUAAUUGAUGAAAUUCGUGGUUAUGCUUUGAUGUGAUGUUUGGGUAUGUGAAAUUGAUGUUAAUUAAGUUGUUGAUGAAGAAUUUACAUGCUCAAGUUAUGUAUAUAUGUAUACUUGUGUUUUUGCUCAAAAUUGAUGAAGUAUAAUGUUAUUGUUGGUGAAUUGUUGAUGAAUUCACUUCUGAUUGUUGUUGUUGUGAUUGUGAGUAGUUGUUGUUGAUGAUUGAAACCUUGGGUAAUCUUAACCAUAGAGCUUGAAGUGAGUUUCUAUUGUUCUUGAAGUUUUCAUGAAAAAUAGGUCAAAUGGUAAUUUUGUUGAAAUUAUGUUGGAUUCAAGUUUUUAUAUGGAUUUGAGUGUCUUUUCAUGUUUAGACAAACUUUGGGAUCAAAUUUGGGUAUUGGGUCAAAAUUGGGAUUUUGGGGUGAAAAAUGAGUUUUUUUUUGUAGUAGAACUCCAGAAGCCUGUCACAACUCGCCAUGGCGAGCGGGAGGCGAGCAGGAGGUGCUUCCUGUGUGUUAACUCCCCAUGGCGAGUGAUUCACUCACAGGGCGAGCUGCACAGUGACAUCAUUCCCUGUUUCGCAAUCUUGCGUCUUUUUCACAUAUUUUUGUUUUGAAUUGGUCUUUGGUAUAAAUAUGAAAGUUUUAGAUAAUUGUGUUAGCUUUCCAGUGGCGUUGGUUUGACUUGAAAAUGAUUUUUGGUUUUUGAGUUAUGAUGAAAAUACUCCAAGGAGGUCUUAGUGAAAUUUUAUGAAAAUUCCGCAUAACUAUUUCUAAGUCAACCCAAAACUUAUGGAUUGUUUCCAAACUUCAAAACUUGUGUACUAUGAGUUAAAUUAAUGUGUUUAAGAGUAUUUAAGCUACGUUGUGGUGAAUUUAACUUGGUUUUGUUUUGAAAGUGAAUUGGUUUUACAUUAUGAGUAAAGCGAUACGAACUUUGCAAAACUUUGAAUUUAAGUGAGUUGGCCUAUGGGACCUUGAUGUAUACACUAUUGCACUCAUAUGUGAUUGGUGUAUAUACUUAGUUGAGGUUUCCAAAUGUGUUUACCUUGUUUUGUCGGAUAACUUGAAAAUUGGUAAAAUGAUACGAACUUGUCGUAACCUGUGAUUUUGAUGAUUUUGUCGUAGUAGGCCGGUGAAACGCACAUGUAUAUUCAACUACACUCAUAUGUGAUCUAAGUGUAUACAUAGUCGAGGCCCUAGAGUUUAUUUACUUGGUGUUAGUUCAUUUGUCUCAAUUAUUUUAAAGUUGUAAAAUGAGAGUUGAACUUUGUCAAAAAUGGUUCUUUAAAGCCAAUUACCUUAUAAAUCUUUUGUAGAUAACUUUAUAUGACUAAAUGAAGAUAUGUGAAUGAAUUUUUAAUUGUUGAAUAUGAUAUUAUCAUAAGGUGUUGCAUUUUCUCUUUACUUGGAAUAUGAUAAGUAUUUGGAAUGGUGGAACUAUACUAUAUGGUUGAUGUUGAUUAAUAUUUAUAUAUCAAUUGAUGUUGAUGAUUACUGAUAAUUAUGAUGAAAAUGUGAUGAUGACUCUUAAUUGGAUUAUGACUUUAUUGUUGUGUGGACGUAAAUAUUUGAUAAUGCAAUUGUUGUUGAUGUUAUCCUUUAUAUUGUUGUUGAAUAUUUAUGAGGUGAUUUUGCAUUGUCAAGUCUUUCCUUGUAUGUCCAUGCAUCAUAGUCAUGUUGAGUCUUGAUGUUGUAAAGGAGGGUUACUCUUUUACUUUGGUGAUAAUGUAAGACGGGUGUGAAAUUUUACAUAUGAUGUUUUUGUUGCAUCAUGUGUGACGACCUUGAGGUGAUUUGGUACCACAUGCAUAUAUGUGUCGGGAUUAGGCACAUAUCAUAUUGGCGUGAGUCUUAAUUGAUGUAUUUGAAUGAUGAUUGAUGAUGAUAAGUGUGUUUGAUGAAUACAUACUUGUGAUAUUUAGAAUUGUUGCAUGAAUGUGUAUAUGGAAGUUAAUUGCUCAUGAUUAAUUAAUUGAUACUUGAUUUGAUUCAUUUAUGUCUAACUAUUUAUGUGGAUUAUGAUUGUUGUAAAGCUUACCCCUAGUGGUUUUGACCACCUACCUGUCUAUAUGGAUGGGUAGACGAAGUGCAAGAUUAGUCGCUUUGGUGAGUUGCUUGGUGAUUGCUUAGAUAGAGGGAGUUAUCUCCGUUAUCGUUUCCUUAGAGUCUUAGGAUAGGCUCUGAUCUAGGAUGUAUGUCUUAUGAUUAUUCUAGAUUGUUUAUUUUGGAUUUAUUUGUGUUGUGGAGAUUUACCCAAUUGUCGGAAUUUGAAGAAUUUUUAUGUUGAUGUAUUUUGACCUCAUGGCAUGUAUACUUUUGAAGUGUAUGGUUUAUAUCCGCUGCAACGGUAUAGAAUUUUUAUAUAUGCUUGUUAUUUGAACAUUGUUGAUGAUGUGGCGUCUAUUUCUUGGAUAUUUAUAUUAUUCGCGUGUUUUAUUGCUUUAAUAGAAAUAGGGCGCUACAAAAAACAUGCUAAAAAUAACGUAAGAUGUCCUGUCAUCAUACAACGAUUGAGAAAAAGAUAAAGAUUGUCUAAUACCCAAGACUUCUUACAUAACUAUUUCAUCAAAGCAGAAUAGUUCAAAAACUGGAAGGUGUGGGUUUUCAUGACCUAGGAAUACAGGUAGCUCAAGUGAUGACAACAUAAUUUAUGGGAAAUAUGAGAAUCAUCAAGUCUGUGGUAAUGUCAAAUGGAUUCUCAAUCAGAAAAGAAUGCAGAACCUUUAUCCCAGACUUUCCCUCGAUCAUCCAAGAACCAAAUACCAAAGAUCUAGCAGACCUAGUGUCACAAGCUUCUGAAGAUCUAAUCUGACAUGGACCAUGCUCCUAGGGCAUGGACCAUGCACCUAGGGUAGGGUGCGUUUCACAGUCACAUGCGCCUAGGGCAUGGAGUGUGCUCCCUGAGAACUAAAAAAGUGUGGGGCAAAAUUGAUUUUUUUUCGACUUUUGUGUUGUUAUUUUAUGUUGUGAUUUUCUCAGAUUGGAGUGGAGGUAGGAUGUGAGAGUUCAACAGAUCACCAUUUGUAUGACUGAACAGACUAUUCAGAAAAUCUGAAUCAGUGUUUUGAUAAAUGGUUUAGCUAGAGGGUAAUGAUAUAGGUGGCGAAGGAAUAAUGAUGGAUGGUACUGAAGAAAUGUUAACAUAUUAUGUAAGCUCAAGAUCAAUACCUUUUGUAUUAUGAGAUUCUUCUGCUUUGCCUGGUGAGGUUGGCUCAACGGUAGCUGUUGUGAGGUUGGCUCAACGGUAGCUGCUUCUGUGACUAGCAUGCUGACUUCUUCUGCUUGCUUCUGUUGCUUCUCUUGGUUCUCACACUCAUCUACAUCGAUGAAUAUUAGAUGACACAAAUCUUCCUUAGCAUGUACAUUCUUCUUCCUUUCUGGUGAGGGAAUGAGUGAGUGAAUAGUACCAGAGUUCCUUGUGAGCUUGGAAAAAUCCGUUUUGUAGACAGAUCACAAAGUCACAUACUCUUAAUUUGUCUCUGAGUCGGUUUUGGAUUGCCUCGUCUUUUUGGGUGCUUGAGAAACUUUCUCAUCACCUUUCCUCUUAACCUCGACUUUCUUUAACUUCUUUGUUGGAGGAGAUGUUGUGACUUUGGAUGAUUUCCUCUUAUUCUUCUUGUUGUCUGCAGUUUCUGAGUCACCAGGAGUUUAAUCCGGAAAGAACUAAUCCGCAACUAAUUACUAAUAUUUUUCAUUGAAAAAAAAUAAUUUUAAAUAAGACUGGUACCUUGGUCUGUUGUAAAUUUGUAAGAACUAAUUUGACAGACAAUGAUAUAACUCAAAGACUAAUUUAUUUGUAAGUGCAAUAAUUUUGUUACUAAUUUUUGACCGUAAAUAACACACAAGUUAGCAGAAGGACCAAGUUGUUCAAUAUAAUUCAAAAUGUGAUUGUUUUUGCCAUGGCAUCCCCCAGUUUUUCUAUAAUUACACAAGAUUCCCUUUGUCUCGAUGGUUAGGAAGUACAAUUUUCUUUUGGAUGUCUCGUGUCUGAGUCCUAAUUCCCCUCAUUUUUAUAUUUCUAUUAUAUUAUAUUUUAAAUUUUAUUAAAAAAAUGUUCUUGAGGGGGAAUCGAACACGCACCACUACACUGAAUUCUAGCAAAAAACUGACCCCUAGACCGGUUACUGAUCUGAAGAAUAUUAUGAAACAACUAAACAUAUAUUCCAUAAAUUUUGGCACCCCCAAGAUAAAAACUCAAGAUCCGCCAUUGCCUAACUCAAGGUCCUAAAUACGCCACUACCAUUAACUAUAAUUAAUAAGAGUGUUUUAGAAAAUGAAACAUAUUUUGAACAUAUUUCUUAUCAUUUCUUUAACAAUUAUGUAAAACUCAAAAGGAACCCUUAAUUUGAGACAGAGGAUAUAUAAUAAUCGAUGAAGUUUAAUAUCUGCAAAAAAGUGUUAUUAAGUGAAGUAAACUUAACAAGGGUGACACUUGUUUUCUUUUGGUAAGGUGUGGGAGCACUCUUGACUGAGUUUCUAUUUUUUUUUUUUAUAUUCUUUUGAAAGUUGUAGUGGUGUAAUUGGGUGGUUAGUUGAAGUAAUUUUCGUUUUGGUUCUUGCUUGAUCUAUUUUGCAUUGUGAAAUUUCAAUUCUUAGUUUGCUUUCUACAUUGACGGAGUUGCUAAGUUGCAAUCAAACUUUUGAGUGUGUAUUAAUUAUAACAGUAAGAGUGUUGCUAGCACUACUCUUAUAUAAAAUCAGAUGUAUUUUUAAAUUUAUUUAUUUAUUUUUUUUUUUUUAAUUUCUACGAAAGUGGUGCACUUUUCCAUGAAUAUGCUUUUAGUGCAACUCCUUACCAAUGUAGUCAAACAAUUUCUUAAAACUCAUUGUUAUUAGUCAUUUCGAAACAAUGUAUUCACCAAGACAAAGGAGUGGGUGGAAGGAUAAUGGGUGCAUGCACAAUCAAGAAAAAGUUAGGUGAACAUUACAAUCAAAAUAUAUAGCAUAGAGCAUCAAAAUUUAUCGUAUGAAACAAUGUUUUUCUAAAAUAUGAAUGUGAACAAAUAACCCUUCAACUCAUAAGAUGAUCUUUAAUAUAUAGAAUUAGAAAGUUAGAGUAUCAGUACACCGAAAUUUAUAUAUUCAAAAGUGAGGCGUAGUUGGUUUUCCUCUUUAUGUAGUAUAGUUCGGUUUUUCCAUUUUAUUAUGGUACUUAUUCCUAUCAAAUUGAUAAAUCAGCUUUAUCUUAUAAUUGAUUUAACUAAUGAUGACUUGAACAUCAAUAUUAUAUAUUCGGAUAUACGAGUACUUCAUCGUGCUCUUAAUUUAGAGAUGUUUUGAGUUUGUUUACAAAUUGAAUCUUUGAAUUUUAGACAUAGAACUUGUACUCUUUUAGAUAUAAUAUACCGAUUUGAAUGGAUAAAUACCGUAAUUCCAAACAUAUAUUUUUUUUUCACACACAUACCUCAUCCAUUACGAAACGCAGGAACUAAAGCUAUAUAAUAUAGUGAAGCUAAUUUAAUAAAAAAUAUAUAUAUUUGGUGAUGCUAAACUCAGUCUAACUUAAUGCCAGUUCAAAAGGAACACUGUGGUAUGGAGGAAUUCUUUGUUUUGCAUUUAUAAAUGGCAACUAUACCCUAUUAAUCAUCAUCAUAAAAAUAAUUUUUAUAAUGUAUGAGACCAAGUUUCACGUCUCUAUUAUUUUUCAUCAUUUUUUAGAAUUGUACGAUCUUGUACCAGAUCUUCGUUUAGUUAUGAUGAUAGCAACCACUCUCACUGAAAAAUUAUAUAAUAACAUUUUUUUGGCAUAUUUAAUUACUGAUCCUGUCGGUGUAUUAUUGUAAAAUUAGGCAAUUUGUCCAAUCAAUUCACACAUAAUUUCAAACCUGGCAACUAUAUAAAAACAAAAUCAUAGGUAAAUAAUGUAGAAAAUCACCAACAACCCUUGAAUUUUGUUACAAGAAAGGGCCAAGUCAUCACCUUAUCAAGAUUGUGAGUGGAUUCACAAAGAUCACGACUAGUAUAAAAGGAGGAAGUCACUCUUGUGUUUUCUGCACCAAACUCAUAAGUCACUAACAUGGCUUCCUCAAACUUCCUAGUGCUGCUUCUUUUUGCUCUAUUUGCCAUUCCUCAGGGUCUUGCCAAUUAUGAGAAGCCUCCGGUUUACCAACCACCGGUGUAUAAGCCACCAGUUGAGAAACCCCCGGUCUACAAACCCCCUGUAGAAAAGCCACCAGUAUAUAAGCCACCAGUAGAGAAGCCUCCAGUUUACAAACCACCGGUGUACAAGCCACCUGUGUACAAACCCCCAGUAGUGAAACCCCCAGUCUACAAACCUCCUGUUUACAAGCCACCGGUGUACAAGCCACCAGUUUACAAACCACCAGUAGAGAAGCCCCCAGUUUACAAGCCACCUGUAUACAAACCCCCAGUAGUGAAACCCCCAGUCUACAAACCUCCUGUUUACAAGCCACCAGUUGAGAAGCCUCCAGUUUACAAGCCACCAGUAGUGAAGCCACCUGUUUACAAGCCCCCAGUCUACAAGCCACCAGUAGUGAAGCCACCUGUAUACAAGCCUCCAGUCUACAAGCCACCCGUUUACAAGCCUCCAGUUGAGAAGCCUCCGGUCUACAAGCCACCUGUUUACAAGCCCCCAGUUGAGAAACCUCCAGUCUACAAGCCACCGGUUUACAAGCCUCCAGUCGAGAAGCCACCAGUUUACGGACCUCCUCACCACCCAUAGGACUCUCGGAUGCUUUUAAGUAAAUAAGUUAAAUAAGAGAUAUAUAAUGUUUCCAAAGCAAGGAUUAUAUAUUCUUGGAAUCUUCAUUUUAGUCUUUUGUUUACAAAUCCUAUUACCAAGAUAAGAAUGUGAAAGAAAAUGGUGCAUUUGUACUCCAAGUUAUGAAUAAGAACGUUGUGAUUUAGCACUUUUUAAUUUGUGUUGGUUGACUAAAUUGGACAUAGUAUAUAUAUACUCUACUUAAUACUCUGUCAUAUCAGUAAGGUGCAUGAAAGUUCAAUUUUCUGUAGUAGACAUAACGAAUAAUUAAUUUAUGUUUGAAUCUAGAAUUUACUAAACUUCACGUACUUGGAAUUUCAUUGCAUUAUAGCUUGACUCAGUAGUAGCUUUAGUGAAAAAUGAUUUUGGUGCUUAAAAUUUUAAGAGUUGGAGUUUGGACAAAUUAUACACUCAUAUAAUUUAGUUAUCUUUUCAAAUUUACAAUUACAAUUUUCAAGGUUCUAUAUUUGUGUUGAUGCACCAAUUAAGAGAAUGAUCAAGAAAAUUAGGUUUUUAAUUGGUUUUUAUCGAUGAUUUCUGAAGAUAUAUUUCGGCAGAUGAACUAAUCCUUCAAUUUAAGAGAUUAAAUUGCCAUUUUACAAAUUUCAAUGAUUAUAUUAUUACCUAAUCUUAAAUAUAAUUUUUAGGGCUAAAACGAUGAUUCACUCAAUAUAUAUUGUGAUUUCUUAUUUUUUUUAUGAUAUAAAGAUAGCUGAAGUUGUGUGAUAUACAAAGUUAUAUUUCCUUUGGAAGAUAAGAGUCCCCCACCAUAUUGACAUGAAAGUGAACGUGGGAAAAUAUGUGCAAUUAAGGUUCCAAAUAUUAAACAAUAGCCACAAUAAUUGUCUAUAACUCAUAACAAAUAUAAGAACUUGAUAAGAAAAAUAAUAAAUAUAAGAACAUGAGCAGGCCAUAGUUUUUUAGCCCGAGAAGCUUCAUCUUCUUUUUAAGUCUAACAUUUUUUAAUCUUCAUUCAAAGAAGAUUGGUGAUUUUGGGAUAUUUUUAUAAGAUAGGUAAAUAAUGAAAUUUGUGUUGUACUCGAAGAAAUCUACCACACGAUUUGAAUGAAUAUAUUACUUUUAGUCAAAAUAAAUUAAAAUAAAGAAUGUAACAUUUCAAACUCACUCACAUAUAAAGAAUGAAUUUACAAUCUUUAAAACACAAAUAUUUAAUCCUUAAAUCUAACACCUCUCUUAGUUUUAGCGAAAUGAACUUUGUGUUGUACUCGAAGAAAUCUACCACACAAUUUGAAUGAAUAUAUUACUUUUAGUCAAAAUAAAUUAAAAUAAAGAAUGUAAAAUUUCAAACUCACAUAAAAAGAAUGAAUUUACAAUCUUUAAAACACAAAUAUUUAAUCCUUAAAACUAACACCUCUCUUACAUUUAUUUUGUUUACGUACCUUUAUUUUGUUUUCAAAUACUUAUAUUUAGUUGAAUUCCUUCAUUAUACUCUUUUUAAUGAAUUUUCUGAACAAAAUAAAAUUGUGUUACUCAGUCACUCAAAUUAGAGUGGAUAGAGCAAUGAAAAUAUUUAUUACUAUGUAGUUUAUAGUUGGAGUGAUCGGAUAGUCUAGUGGGAUCUUAGCCACUCUCGUUUGACUCACUUGGAGCAUGUCAAAAAUAUUUUUUUGAAAAUGAACGAUGGAGAUUUACUUUGCACUAGGUCCAGUGAAAAAGAUAUGGGAGAUAAUCCCAAUCUUAGCUUAUUGGGUAGGCCAGUGUUGAGAAUGGAUUCUCUCAAAUGUAAUUAUCUCACUAGUCUAAUUACCAACACAAUCAAAGAGAAAAAAUAGUGGGAUGUAAGUAAAAAAUCCAUAUUCUACUUACUCAAUCAUCUAUACAAGCUACUUUAAUUAUCUAGUCGAACGUUACGAGCGUUACAAGAGAAAUCAGAAUAUCGAUGAUCAAAAUCCUUCAAAGCAAAAGAUGUUGUUGUGUGCAAGUGUGAGUUAUAUGCCCCACAUCGGAUAAAAGAGUAAAGGUUGAACACCUUAUAAGUAAGAGGACCAUAAACCCAAAGCCUUAAGGUUUUGGGUAAGAGUGUGGUGUCUCCCUUGCUUGUCUGGUUGUUCUAGCCUCGAUGUGGACGCUCCCCCAAGCUCCCCUCGCUGACCCAACAGUGGUAUCAGAACCCCGGUUCGAUGAAGGGUACGACUGAGGCCGCCUGUCAGUUGUGCAGAAAGCAGCAACGACGGUACAAGCAACAAGUGGCUUCUUGUGCAGCAACGGCUAUACAUGCAAAGUAAAAAGCUUCCACGCGGUACAAGCAACAAGUGGCUUCUUGUGCAGCAAUGGCUAUACAUGCAAAGUAAAAAGCUUCCACUCUAGGGGAGCGACUCACGCUUGAGGGGGAGUGCUGUUGUGUGCAAGUGUCUGUUAUAUGUCUCAAAUCGGAUAAAAGAGUAAAGGUUGAACAUCUUAUAAGUUAGAGGACCCAUAAACCCAUAGCCUUAAUACUGUCCUUUUUGCAUAUUUAGCCCCCCCGAAACCAAUUUUAACCAAUUCAACGAUGACGUGGAUGUCACGUGUGUAAUGCUUUAAUUAUUUUAGUUUUAGAUAGAUACAGAGAGAGAGGUGUCAUAUGUCAAAAAAAAAAAAAGAUAGAAAAGAUUUCCUUCCUUGAAUCGUUGAGGUAACUACAAACUAAGACAAUGAUGUUAUUGGUUACUUGUUUCUAAUACCUUUGAAAAAGAUAGUUAGACCAAUGUAUUGGUCAUUAACUCUUUUCAAUGGUUACUACCCUAGUGUCUAAGGUGAGUCAUAACAACGUCAAAGUAAGUACAAUUAUUAUUAAUUUAUGUCUACACCUAAUCAAUAAUUGAAGGUUAAGAUAGGUCAAGCCAACAAAGUUAAGGUUAAGAUAAUCAUUUUCACCUAAAUUGAUUUAUGAACAUAUGUUAAUGAUGACAGUCCGUCAUAUCACAUUUUUAGAGUCUUUUCAAUUAAGUUUUUAUUCUAAUUUUAUUAAUUUAGUACUUAAUUUAGAGUCAUUUUAAAUAAAUUGUCAUUUUCUUAUUAUUGAGUCAACUAGUGUAUUAUUACUAUUAUUAUUGGUCAAUUAGUGGCUAGUAAAGAGAAUGAAACAAAAACAUGGUUUUGUGAUGGAUGUGAUUGGCCAAGAAAAAUGAUAACAAGUUGAACGAAAGAAAAGAAGACCACACAAUGUUGCAUUAGGGUGCAGGAAUCAAAACCAAUAUAAUUGGGCUUUCUUUCAUGGACGUUGAACCAAGAAAAAGAAAAGAAAAGAUAACUUGCUGCAUAAUGUUAAUUUGGAAAGAAAAAUAGGUUUGACAAGCUAUAAAAGGAGACCACGCACAGGAACAAAGCAGACGAUUGGGAAAGAAAGAGCAGCACGCGGUACGAGACAAAAGGAGGAGGAGAAAAGCUCAUGGAAUUUGGAAUAUGCAACAGUACUGAUUAAAUAGAACAAAGCCGGUAGACCAUAAUUCGAUCGGUUUAUUUCUUUUAGUAUGUUGUUUAUUCCUUUAAUAUGUCUAGUUAAUUCCAUUUGAUUGAGUCACGAUGAACCUAUUGUAAUAUAUGAAUCAGUAGUUAAAACUCUUUUUAUUAUCAAUAUUAUUCAGUCUUUAUUCAGAAUUAUCUGUGUUCAUUGCCUUUCAUAUGAUUGUUUGCAUUGUUUGCAUUGUUUGCAUGACUAUUAACCCUAACUUCUUACAAUCACAUAAAUUGAUCUUAGGAAUUGAAUGACUACUAACCCUAACUUUUAAUCCUGAAAUAAUAAUUCUGUUUAAUUCAACAUAGGAACCUAGAGAUAGGAAAUUGAGGAUUAUGACAUAUAACGUUCUAACAUCGCUUCCGCGGUUAUUCAACCAGUUUAAAAGAUUAAAAGGUUAUAACUUAGGAAAUGGUUUUGAGUCAAGAGAUUGAUCAAAACUAAUUAGUUAAUUUGUCGUAAAGAUUGAAUAAGUGUUGAGAGCAAAGAGAGAUAAACUAUUUCACAUAAAACAAUAGAGGAUUUACCGGCUGAUCAUCUGUUUUAAUCCAAUUAUCAAACCAUUUUAUUUUAUGUUAUUUACUUUUUAUUGCACACAAACGUACUGCCUCAUACACUUAUAAAAUUUACACAUCCUAGAUAUUAACUUUAUUGCUAGUUUGAGAUUAACACAGUCCUCGUGGAUACGAACUUAUUUUAUUACUUCGAUAGUUUUAGUACACUUGCUAAAAUAUUUAUGAGUUAACCAAUAAAGAGUAUCAAGAACAACUUUAACCGAAUAAAAUAGAAAAGUAAUUAAAUGAAAUUUAUAGAAUUAUUCAAAGUUACAUAAUCAAACAAUUACGAGGAAGUUCUUAUUUCAUGACCUAACAUAUAUAGUAUUAGCUACUCAUAGAUUUUCUAAACAUAUAUAAAUAGAUAUGAAGAAGAAAGCAUGAGAAAAGGAUCAGCAAGUGAGGAUUAAUUGGCUCCCUAAUGGCCGUGGUCACUCCAAUCCUUCCAAAAUUGUGUUUCUGCCUUCGUCUUCUCGCUAAAAAGUAUUUUCCACUAACUUAGGUUUCAAUAUUUAUAGGUGUGCAUUUCCUUAAGUUUUUGGGAAAUUGGCACACGAUGCGAUCCUAUUCCUCAUGAUGCGAGGAUAACAUAACUAAUCUUGUUGGCCUCACGUUUAUUGUCCCGAUGCAAAGCUCAUGAAGAUUGAUACGAUUCAAGGAAAUGUGAUUUGAUUUAACCAAGCAAAAACCAAGAUCAUAGGAUAACAAUGAUACGAUUCAAAGAAGUGUUAACUUGAUUCACAGUAAUACAAUUCAAAGAAUCAUGAAUCGUUUAAAAAUUUAUGGAAAAUUAGCAGAAACUUUUCAUGAUAAGAUUCAAAAAAGUUUGAAUUGAAUCAAUUGGUUAGAAAAACAUUUUGACCAAGAAAAAUGAAGUUUUCUUUAUACAAACAAAACACAAGACAACAAGGGAUCAUAUGAUUUAUGAGGCAAGAUUUCUAGGUAUGCUUUAACAUGAUAUUAGUCAAUAACAACUAAUAUCUAAACAUCAUCAAAUAAAAACUACCUAAUGAACAUCAUAAAAACACAAACCUAUAACUACACAACUUCAUCCAACUUAUUGGGUGUACCGCAUUAACUAGAUAAUGGUCAUAUCUAUACUAUAUAUAAAGAAAAUAACAUGUUUUUCAAGGUGAGAAAAACACGAGAGGGGGGGGGGGGGGGGGUUGAAUUGUGGUUUCUUUCUCUUCUCCUAAAACCGAAUUCACUAUUCAGAACUUGAUAGAGUUCAGCUUCUGAAGUAGUGUUCAGAGUCUAGUUGCAGCGGAUAAGAAAAGAGAGAGAGAGAGAGAGGCAAGACACAAAGCAACUAUACAGAUUCCUUCCACAAACCGGAACUAGUCAUGUCCCCCUUGCACCUCCAAGAAGAGUUCACUAAAAUCAAUAUUCGAUUACAAUUGCUCAGGGCUCAAAAUAGCAAGAGACUUCAAACUACUCAAGAACAACUACAAGAGAUUUCCUAUGCUCAAGAACAAAAUCAAGAGACUUCCUAUGCUCAAGCACAACUGCAAGAGACUUCAUACAAAUCAGAUAAGACUCUUAAGAUUCUAGAAUUUCUAAAAUAUGAAAGUUGAUAAGAAAUUCUAAGUGAACUUUGAUGUGAAACAUUUUUAGCAGAGUUUUGGCACUUGUAAAAUUGUUGUAAGUCUCUUAGAAAUCUUCAAGUCUUCACUCCUUUAUAUAGAGGUGUGAAAGAGACGUUGUUGAUUUCCAACACAUUAAAAGAGUCGUUAUUGAAGCUUGAUCAAAUUUCAAUUCCAUUCCAAGUAUAGAGGAAUACCAGCGUAGUCACAAUUGUUGUUCUUGUACUAUUGCAGACAGAAAACAGAGUAGUGGAGAAGGUGGUUGUACAAUUGUACUAUUGUCCUUUUCCAAUGUUCUUCAAGGGAUAAGCAUCCAAUGACUUCAAAUUCCUCUUAAUUAGUUGUUGCUCUAGACUUCUAUUCCUUCUGCAAUGAUAGGCAUGAUAAUAACAACUCUUGACAAAUAUUGAAGCUUCCAGUCUUUCAGCUUAUGAUCUUAAACUUCUAACGACGUCAGCUUCUGGUAGUCUCCAGCUUAUGAUAAAAGUGCUUCUGAUGAUGUCAUCUUCAGAACCUCUUUGUCUUCAAAACCUCUUUUCCUUCAGAUGGUUCCUUGCAACUCAAGCUUCCUUUUUUUAAAUUCCAUUGCUCUCAUUUGUUCUUCUAGAACCCAUGCUUCAUUUAAAGACACUCAAAUUUUUGUAUAUGGUCCUGCACACUUGAACAAAUAUUAUCAUAUCCAAUUGAAUUUUUUUAAUACCUUGUUAUCAUCAAAACUUAAAGGGUAAUGUUAAACACAUUUUGUUCCAACAUUUUUGACUCUUUUAGAAUGACUUUUUCUCUUUCCAAAAUUACCAUCAACUUUCAAUACAAAUAACACAUACAACAAGAAUUGUGUUAUUUGAACAUCCAUAUAUGCGACAACUUUUGUGACAACCAAAAUUUUACAAAGAAAAUGAAGUAGUGGCACAAAAACCAAAGCAAUAGAGAGAGAAAGUAAAAAGAUAAUGUGAGUAUGAGAGAGAAAGUUGUCACAAAAGUUGUAAAAAAUAGUUGUUCAAAUAUCAUUUCUCCAUACAACAAAUAGAUGAGAGUAAAUUCAAACAUUAAAAUAAAAUUGUAAUACACACGAUAUGAGUAUAUAUGUCCAGUUUUUUCCUUUAUCAUUUAAAAAAUGUAACAAACAAGAUGAGAAUAUCAGAGAGAUGAGAGAUAGUGACGUGAGACAAGAAAGACCUCUCCGUGGCCCGCCUUUGCUUGAACGGUGGUAACCGCACCAGAAUUUAUCUCCAUUUGAGAGAUACACUAGGGGGUAGGUAUGCAGCCUGGGUGGUAGAAAAUGGGGGGGGGGGGGGGGGGGGUAUGGGUGAUUGGUCUGUAGUUAGGUCACGAAAGAGGAAAGCGACGCAAUCGGAAGAUCGAGGAAGGGACAAGUCAAGGGUUUCAGAGCGACGCGGAGGCACGGUAAGGGUUAGAGGGAUCGCACAUAAUGAUUACGGGUUUGAUGGCAGAGAGGCGCGACAAUCAGCAAGGGCUCUUCAUGAUCAGCAAGGUUUGGGUCGUUAUCAGUUUGGAAACAACGAUUUGGCUUUCGACAGAUGCGGGUCUGAUGCUAUCAUGGGAAAAGGCUUCUUCGACGACAAACAUAACAAUGGUAGUAAAAUUACUUUCUAUUUUGCAAACAUUCCUGAUUAUAUGCCGUUGUUUCGUCUCCGUCAAUACUUUGAAGUGUGUGGUAUUUUGUCUGAUGUCUAUGUUGCCAGACAACUAAAUUCACGUGGUCAGGUCUAUGGCUUCGUUAGAUUUUUGAAUGUGAGGAACAAGGACAAAUUAGCACAAGAUUUGAAUAAUGUAUGGAUUGGUGACUUUAAGGUCUGGGCGCGUGAAGCAAAAUUUGAUAGGUUUGCACAAUAUGAUGAUGAUCAUAGGGUGUCUAUGCAUGGUGAUAGAAGGGAUGAGAAUGGAGGGGAGAGGAGGCCGGUGGUGAGAACUAAUGGUGAUGGAGUAAAAAAUAUGAGGAUGUGUAAUUUUAAAAAAAUAGGAGGGAUAAUAAAAAUAGUUGUUGGUCUCAUUUUAAAAAAAAAUAAAAAAAUUGUUUAUAUAUUUUUGUUAUAUUAUCGGUGUCAAUGAAAUGGAUAAUCAUGGUUAAUUUGAUUUGUUAUAAUUUGAAAGCAACACACAUUUAUAUCUUUAAUUUUAAUCAAAAUCAAAAUGUUAUAAAAAAUACUAUUGCUAAUUUUCAAAUGUUAACACAAUAAAAAGAGCAGAAAGACGGAGUGCCCGUCUUUUCACUAGUUAUAAUAAAAGAAAUUUUAUUUGAUGUAUUGAUAAUGAUACUGAAACUUUUUACACAUACAUCCAAACAUUAUUCAUGACAUCACUUUUAUACAAGUUCUAAAAUAUCGCUGUAACAAAAAGGUUAAAAAACAACUCAUGAAAUAUGUACAUGAUUUAAUUGAAUAUAUGUGUAAAAGAAAUUAUAUAUCAACAUCUAUAAAUUAAAUUUAUUAUUGAAAUGAAAUACUAGUAAAAAUGAUGGCCAGCAUUUAUGAAAAUAAAGGUCUAACUGAUCAUGGGCCAAUUUAAAUCAAAAGUAGAUUUGUGCCCUCUAAAGGGUACUAGAAUAUAAAAGAUGGACGGCAAACAAGGGACACAAAGAAUAGAGAUGCUCAAUUUAAAACACAACUUCGAUUUUUUUUUUAUUUACUAAAAAAUAACUUAGAUUGUUUAGAGAAGAUAGGAAUUCAAUUAGUCUGACAACAUAUUUUGGAAGUACAAUUAGUUUCACAAUUAACUAUUUUGAUAAUCCUCCUUAUUAAAAAAAAAUUAAUAUUCCAUUUCGUCAAAUAAAACAAAAAGUUAGGGAGUGAUGAGAGAUCUUAGUCAAUAUUGUUUUGCACCAUAAUAUUUUUGAGAGAUUGAUUUGGCAUUUACAUGCUUCCAACAAAUACAAUGUAACAAGUGCUUAUAAUUAUAUGAUAUCGUCUCUUAAUAUUGUGACAGCUGAUCACUUAAACACAAUUUGGAACAACGAGGUCCCUCUGAAAGUUAGUCAUUUUACAUGGAGUUUGCUCUGUAGCCGAUUACCAACAACAAAUAAUUUUAUCAGAAGGCACAUUCUUAAUCAUAAUGUUCAACUUUGUGUAGGCUUUUGUGGUAUAAUGUAAGAUAUAGACGAUCUAUUUCUCUCUUGUGAUUUUUUUGAAAUUUUUUAGAUUGGUAUCUAUAAUUGGCUCGGCUUUACUAUGGUACAUCCAGAACAUCCGAAUAACUUUUCAACUCAUAUGGUUAACUUGUGUUUGGGUGAUUUGAUGGGAAAGAAAUGCUUGAAGUUUUCGCAAUCAAGAAGAAUCGUUACAACAUCUUCUUGACAAAAUUAAGCUUCAAUCCUAUUAGUGGUUGAAAGCGAAUAGAAUUUUCGCUCAAUUUUAAUAAAGUGGAUACUAUAUGAGAUUUUCGCUCAAUUUUUUAUGAGUAUGGACUGCACUUGGCGUUAGUCAUUGAACUCAUUUUACGAGACUCAAGUUCCAACUUAAGCCAAAAACUGAAACCAAACAAAUGAAGUAAAAAACUCAAGUUCCAAACUAAUGCGUGAUUUUAGUCAAAACAAUGUUUAUUUUUUGACAGUAGUUAGUUUUGGAUUACAGCUAUAUCCCUACACCCCACAAACUAUACCCCUCUCACCAAUAGACAAAACAAAAGAGUAGGUGGAAGGGUACAUAAUUAAGAAAAAGUUAUGUGAAAAACAAUAUUUUCUAUAGCCAAAACCAAAAGAUAUAUAUUGCAUUAUUGCAUAUAUACCAAUAAAAGAAGUACUGUGAAAUACAAGAUAAUGGCAUUAGAUUAGAAAUGGCCAAUUUGAUCUGUCUAUUUUUAAUCAUAUUAUUUAGAUUUGUUCAAUCUUUUACCAAAUCUUAUUUAGUUAUGCAAAAAGCAACACCUCUCGUUGAAAGAUAAUAAUAACGAUUUUUGGCAUAUGUUACUAAUAUUGAUUGAAAAAUGUUACCAAAUGAUGCAACUUCCCAACUCCAAUCCACUCAUAAUUUCAAACUUCGCUACCAUAUGAAAACAAAAUCACAGGUAGAAAUGUGUUGGAAAUCCUCAACAACUAUUGACUUUUGGUACAAAAGAGUGCCAAGUCAUUACUAAUUCAAGAUUGAGACAUGCAGCUGUGAGUGGAUUCACUAAGAUCACGACUAGUAUAAAAGGAGCUGGUCACACUUGUAUUUUAUGCACCAAAUUAUAAGUCACUAACAUGGCUUCCUCAAACUUUCUAAUGAUGCUCCUCUUUGCUCUCUUUGUCAUCCCUAAGGGGUUUGCCAACUACGAGAAACCUCCAGAGUAUCAUCCACCAGUUGAAAAUCCCCCAUUUUAUAAACCACCGGUAGAGAAACCACCUGUGUAUAAACCACCAAUAGAGCAACCUCCAAUUUAUAAGCCACCUGUAGAAAAUCCUCCAAUUUAUAAACCACCAGUAGAGAAACCACCCGUGUAUAAACCACCGUUUGAGAAACCUCCAAUCUACCAUCCACCAGUAGAGAUACCACCAGUGUACAACCCACCAGUUGAACAUCCUCCAAUUUACAAGCCUCCUGUAUACAAACCACCAGUAGAGCAACCUCCCGUCUAUAAGCCACCAGUAGAGAAGCCUCCAAUUUACAAGCCACCAGUAGAGAAACCUCCUGUUUACCAACCUCCUGUUUACAAGCCCCCAGUUGAGAAACCUCCAGUGUACAAGCCACCUGUAGAAAAGCCACCAGUGUACAAGCCACCUGUAGAAAAGCCACCAGUGUACAAGCCACCUGUAGAAAAGCCUCCUAUAUACAAACCACCAGUAGAGAAACCACCAGUGUACAAACCACCCGUUGAGAAACCCCCGGUUUAUAAGCCACCAGUAGAGAAACCACCUGUGUACAAGCCACCAGUUGAGAAGCCCCCAAUUUACAAGCCACCAGUAGAGAAACCACCUGUAUACAAGCCACCAGUUGAGAAGCCUCCAGCUUACAAGCCACCAGUUGAGAAGCCACCUGUAGAGAAACCACCAGUGUACAAGCCACCGGUUGAGAAGCCCCCAAUUUACAAACCACCAGUUGAGAAGCCUCCAGUGUACAAGCCACCGGUUGAGAAACCACCUGUCUACAAGCCACCUGUAGAAAAUCCACCUGUUUACAAGCCACCAUUUGAGAAACCUCCAAUUUAUAAACCGCCAAUAGAGUAUCCACCCGUGUACAAGCCCCCUUUUGAGAAACCCCCCAUCUACAAGCCACCUGUAGAGAAACCUCCUUUUUACAAGCCUCCGUUUGAGAAUCCACCAUUUUAUAUACCUCCAGUUGAGGAGCCUCCUGUUUACAAGCCUCCAUUCGAGAAGCCACCAAUUUACACUCCUCCAUUCUAGAGCCCACCUUACCACCCAAAGUUCCCUCGGGCAGGCGAUGGUACUCGUUAAUAGAACAUGCUAUGAAGAAAAUAUGUUAAAUAAGAGAUAUAUAGAGUUUUUUAUUUAAUCAAGGAAUAUAUAUAUUCAUGUAAUCUUCAUUUCAAUACUUUGUUUACAAUACUCUUGCUAUGAUAAGAAUAUGAGUGAAAAACAGAGAAAGAAAAUAGUGUGCUUUUCUAUUCGAAAUUAUGAAUAAGAUUUCUAUGAUUUAGAUGUUGUGUUGGUUGACUAAAUCGUGAUACAUCGACAGAGGCAGAGCCCCUCAUGCGCCAAGGUGGGUCAUGGCCCACCCCCAAAUUUUGUUUCUUAUUAUAUAUAUAUUAUGUUUUGUAAAUUUUUGAUGUUUUUGUAGCAUGUUGUAGUGGUUAAGAGCCUUUUUGCCAAGUCGUAUGUGCUAGGUUCAACUCUUGCCAAAACCAUUUUUAUUUAUUCUUUUAUUUUCUUUUGUAUAAAAAAAAAACAUAAUUCAUAAUUGUUAAAAUAAUCCUUUUUUUUGUUACUUAAUCCUUUCUUUCUUUAAUAAAACAUAACUCCUUUAUUCGAUUUAAAAUAAUCUUUCCUUUCCUUACUCUUAUUUUUGGAUACAAUUGUCUCUUUACUCUUUUAUUUUAAUUUUUUUUUUAUACAAAGGGGACUUCAACUCUUUUUUGUCAAAAAACAUUCUCUUUUAAAACAUAUAACAUAUUUUUUAUACUUAGUCGUUUGAUUCAAUUCGAUUUUAUACCUAUACAUCUGUUUAUUGAAGUCGAGUCAUUUAAUUCAGUCGUUAGGUUCAAUGGCCUAGUUGUUCGAUCAAUUAUCUUGAACUUUAUCAAGGUUGAUAAACAGUUCAUAUUUUAAAAUACCGGUUUAAAUUAUAUUCAACAAAUAACAAAUUUAUAGUCAUUGGAACCAACCAAUAAUAAAAUGUACUUGUAAGAAAAUAAAGCCUCAUCACUAUUUAUGGCCCACCCUAUACUUUUUUCCUAGCUCCGCCACUUUACAUCUUCGUAUUCUUUAGGAAGUUUCAACCUUGUUGACUAUGACAACAGUGACGACUAUAACGAGACUCGCUAUUGACUAUGACAACAGUGACGACUAUAACGAGACUCCCUACUUUUUGGUUUGCUUCAACAGGUUCUCAACAUAAAUAACUAACCAAGUUAAUUUGCCUGUGAAAUGUGAUAUUAGUAAGGUGCAUGAAGGUUAAGUUCUUUAGCAAAGCUUAGUAUCUUGAAUUAAAGAAUAUCGUUAAUUAAACUAAAUAUUCAUAUUAGGUAUCACAAUUUUCAAGACUUUAUAUGUACGUGUUGAUCCAUUAAUUAAGAGAAAUUAGACUUUAGACCCGUGCGUCGCACGGGUCAUUUCGACUAAUAUAUAAUAAUAAGUAAUGGUAAAAAAAAUUCUAAAAUAAAUAAAAGAUGAAGAGUAUUAUACAUUUUACUUACUCAAGUUCAAAAAAUAAAGUAGGAGAUGACAUGAAAUCGUUUAGUUGAAACAAACGAAUAUUAAAAAAUAAAAAUUAGACAACGACAGGGAUCUAAAAUUCUAUUUCUAAUCCUUCACAUAUCAAAAUUACAAUUGGUUCUCUUCAUUGUAAUCAUCUAAACUUAAUUAAAAAAUUUACAAGUGCAAAUAGAAUCGACAUUAUACAAGUCACUACUUGAUUCCAAAAACCUAUGUUUCAUGAAAACCACUCAUACCUAAAUAACAAUAAUAAACCUUCAAAACAAAAAUCAACUAUUCUCAAAGGACCCAAAAGAAAGAUUUUUAGCCUUCUAAAUCACAAUUUCUCUUGUUGUAUUGUUUUUGUGUCAAAAGCACCAUAAGUUGAAUAGUAGGCUCAGACACAUGACUUUCCUCAUAAGACAAAAUCACCAGUUUUUUAUAGGUUGAAAAAAUAAAUCAAAUAUCCUUAACUUUCAAUAACGCUUAGAAACAACUGAAACUUUUGCAUUAUCUCAAUCCACAAACAAAAUUGAAGACCUUUAUAUUUGCUUUAGGCACCUUAAGGAAUUCUAUGUAAAUUGUUUUCCUGCAAUGAAAUGCUAAACACAAUGAGCAAAGAAGAAGAAUUAACAACAAUAUUUGGAUUGUUUUAUUUAGCUUACAAUUCUUUAAACUAAUCAANAACACAAUGAGCAAAGAAGAAGAAUUAACAACAAUAUUUGGAUUGUUUUAUUUAGCUUACAAUUCUUUAAACUAAUCAACAAAAAAUUAAAUUUGCAUUAUAUCCUCCACAAUAUCAAGAAUUUUUCAAAGGGAUCAUUCUAUUUGUAUGGCUAUGAUGAGAACUCAUGUGUGUCCAUGAAGACCAGCUCUACGGAUAACCAUGUUCAUAUUAACUAUUUUAGGAGUGAAAAUAGGAUUGGAUUGGAUUUAGUAGUGAGCUGUUGUUUUUGAUUUCAGAAGCAUUUGAAAAUAACAUUUUGAUUAAAUGGAAAUAAUAGGAAGAAUUUGUUAAUAAAAGUGAUUUUUUUUUUUUUUUUUAUGUUGAUCUUUUUAUUGUUGUGUUAGAAACAAAAUAGGACGAAAUUGUAUUUUUUUUUUUAUGUUUAUCUUUUUAUUGUUGUGUUGGAAACAAAAUAGGAGGAAAUUGUUAUAGGAAUAGGAGGAACGAUUUUUAAAGUUUAUCUCUUAAUUAAACAGGUUUAAUUGAACACGGGGGUAAUAACGUAAAAGUCAUCAUAAAAUCUAGGUUAAAAUUAGGUUAAAAAUUGGCUUACGGGUUAACUUUUAUAUAUAAAGAAGUCAAGAGAAUCUAGAUCUGUGAAGCCCCGAUACUUCAAAAUGGAUGAUGUAUCGUAUCCGCUGCGUAUUCUGUAUCGAUACCUGCCCGAUACUUCUCAAAUUUAUGAGUUUUAUUUGAUUCUUCGAAUUCGAAUUUUGAGAAUUUUAGGGUUUGAAGGUUGGUGAUGGAGGUGAAUCUGAGUUUAUAUUAAGAAUUGAUGAAGAAUUUAAGGAGAGUGCAGUGAUGGAUAGGUAACUGAGUAUGAAUUGGUAUGCAGUUUGGAAAAACAAAACAAGAGGCAGUAGCAGCACCCCCACCCUUCCUCUACUUCUUCGACAAUAUGAGUGUUAGAUUCAUUUUCCUAGGUGUGAUUUUGAGGCAGAUGAAUAUGUGUGAGAGAUUGUAGAGGAAGAUCUCAGAUAUAGCUUUUAGGGAUGAACAUGAAUGAAUGAAUUUGUAGAUGAAGAUGAAUGUUGUUUGAACAUUUAAUUAAGAAAUUUUUAAUUGUUUUUUGUUUUAAUAUUUGAAAUUAUUAAAUUGUAUUUUGAAAUUCAAAAAACCUGUUUUAAUGACAUGUAAAUGACAUUUUCCAAAUUGGCAAUGCCACAUAGGCAAAAUUUUACCACCUGUGCAUUUUUGGAUGUGAAAAUAGGGGGUAAGACUAAAACUGCAACAAAAAUGAUAAUUGAAAAACAAUUUUAAUCUGUUUUAAAAGGGCAGGACCAAUUUCCUGAGUAGGCCACAACACGAGGACCAAAAGUGUAAUUAAGCCUUAUAUUUAUGUUGAUGUGCUACAAGCUUAUGACUGGUUUCUUUUGUUUGAUAAUAUAUUUGCAUAUUAAAUAAAAUGGUUAUAAUUAUAUUCUACAUUUAAUUAUAUAAUUUUUUUAUUGACGUAUCCCAACCAUAUCGUAUCUUGAUUUUUGAAAUUUUUUCGUAUUGACGUAUCGGUGCAGUAUCGUAUCUCGUAUUCGGGCUUCAUAGAUCUAGACUAUUAAUUUUUUUGAUAAACAAGAUUAUUAUUAUUUUUUGACAAAAACAAAGUGAGAUUCAUUCAUUCAAAUUGAUAGAGUACAUCAGAUACAAACAUUGCUAAAAACGUAAAGGAUAAAUCUAUGAACAAACUCACAACACUAAAGUUCAUACAACAGCAAAAUGUCUACAAAUAAUAUGAUAAAAUCUAAGUCACCAAAAUAUUCAUGCUUCCGGGUAUGCAACGUUGGCGCCCAAAUCAUUGAUUGAAUUUGUAAUUGACUAAUGUCGAUCUUUCAACAUGAACUAAACGAACACCGCGUCAAGACGCGAAAUCAAACAUCACAUAAGACCACUAACAACACAAUGCCACAAUUAGAUGACGAAAUCACAAAAACUCAAAAGGGAAAACUUGAUAUAUGUGAAAACCAUUUGUUUAGAUCGAAAGAAAAGAGAAAAAACGAUGUAGAGGGGUGAUUUUAGGUCAAAAAUGACCUAAAACCAGUUCUUUUUAAUAAACGAAGGAGAAAGAAUGUUUAGAGAGAAGUUGGAGUUUUUUUUUACUUAAAAAAUUAGGAUAAGCAAAAUUAUUAUAGAGGGAUAAAGGGCUCCCCAACCCAUAUACAAAAUGAUGGUUGCAAUGCCAUGUAGAAAAUAAAAAGAUAACAUUGCCUUUCUUUUUACAAUUAAACUAGUUACAAACCCGUGCGUUGCACGGGUUUAAUAACGUAUUUUAUAAAAAAAAAAUCUUUUAAAAGAAAAAUGAGCAAAUUAAUGAAUAUUGCACAAACAUUAUAAAUCUUUAUCAAAAUAUUUAUGAAAGCUUUAUCAAGUCUUUAAUACACAUUAAUAUUUGUGAUGAUUGAUAAAAGAAUUAAAAAGAGUAAAGGGUAUAGAAAUAAAUUUAUUAAAGAAUUAACAAUUUGUUUAAACUUAUUUUUGUUACAAUUUAGACCAAAAAAAAUAUUGGACUUCAUUGAGUUUCUCUAUAAUUUUUUUAUCAGGCUUGAAGUUAUGACUCUGAGUUUGAAAACCGCAAAAUUCACAAAAAUUAUUGAAGAAACACUAUAAACAAAUAAACGGCAUCGUCAAAAAUGAAAUCAUAUUUGGCUAUAGUGAUCAAGCAAACAAAAAAAAAGAAGCAUAUUAAAUACCUAUAAUCAAUGGAUUCUAAUUGCAUAGAGGCGACACUUAUACUUUCUCUAUGUUUGUUCAUCAAUGAGAGUGAUUAUUUUGCGCUUUCCUUUCAGAAUUGUUCUUGACACCUAGUUUGGGAAAUGCUAAACAGGGAAAUAACUGUAAUAUUAAUCUAAUGCAUAUUAACAUGGAUAAGAUGUAUGCGAAUAUAGUUAUAUAUAACUUAUGAAAUGAAGGUAACAUAACUGAUUUUAAGCUAAAGAAAAUGUACCAUGACUUCUAAUUUAUCUUUCUAUUAUCUUCCUAUAAAGUCUAGAGAAAUGCAUGCAUGUGCAUUAUAUGUACCCCGUUGACCAAUUAACAUUUUUGAAACAAAUGAAAAUUAAGCAUCACUCCCGCAUGUGCAUCUAUAGCUAACACCAUUUGACAUUGAUGUCUUCGAACAUUUGGUGCAACUCUCAUAAUACCAUCCAAACUGGUUAGGAUUGAAUUUAGUUGUUUUUCCAAAUAGUGAUGGAGUAUGUAUCCUAACACAAAUUAUGCACGUGAAAUAAAGAAUAGUGCAAUAUGCAUUUUUAAUUUGUGCGUAAAAAAAUUCAAAGCAUGUUUGUGAAAAAAAAAAAAAAAAACAGACCUUGACUAAGUUUAUAGAUUCAUCAAUUGGCCUAACUUGAGACAGAUUGGAAAAAUCGUUCUACGAAGUACUUUUUAAACUUUACUUUUUAAUCUAUCUGAGCUUGAGAAGUGUUAAGUUCACGACAACAAUUCAAGAAACAUGGUCAAUAAACAAUCAAAUCAGAUUGUGAAAUAAUAAGUUACUCUAACACUGUAUUGUGAAAUCAUAAUGCAAACUUACUAAGUCUUAAACUUUUCAACAACCGGAUGAUGUAGGUUGAUGAGCAGCCUCGAACCUGACCAAUUGUUACAUCUAUUUGCGUUGUCAUUGACUACAAAAUAGAAGCAAAGAAUUCAAGGUAAAUAAAUGGUAAAUGAUAAAGCUACAAAGUAUUUUACCCAUAAUGUUACAUCAACUAUAUUCCCAAUGCUCUAAAUCUCUAUAUCGAGUUAUUACAUGAACUCGAUCACCCUAAAUCCGAGAAAGAAACCAAAAAAUAUAAAUAAAUCAAAAUGUAUACUAAUAAGUAACAUUGAUAAAUCAUAAAAGAAAUUACUACAAAUCUUAACUAACUUAUCUAACCUUUGCAUCACAAAUAAUGAGCUUCAUAUGUUGAUUCUCAUUACUACCAGUCACAAUUCAAGAAUCCAGUACUCCAAAUCCUAUUUUCCAAACGUCUAAAUCAUUUUUGAGAUACUUAAUGUAGUCAUAAUCCCUUGACAUUGAAAUUCAUAUAUAGAAAUACAAUAAUACAUCAUUUAAUUUUAUUCCCUUUGUUCAUUCUGAUAUCGAAAGAAGCUAACAUAUUUCUAUGUGAUCAAUUUUUGUAUCAUCAAAUUAACCUGAUCUUAAAUGUACAAAUUUCUAUCAUCAACUUUCUGGACCCCAAUGAUAUGAUCAAAACAAAUUUACACCAAUCAACUUUUUGCACGGCUCAAUGAUAUACGAAAGAAUAAAUAAAAUAUGAAAACUGUUACAGCUUUAGGAUUACUCACAAAAACUAAAAUAAUUGAAAUGCAUCAAUUAUUUUCAACUCCUGUACCAGAAGCUAAAAUAACAAUUGUGUCAAAACCUUACCAUCAGUUAAAAUUCAGUCAUCAUGACCUCUACUAUACUCCACAUAACAAAAGACGAUUUUUCUACAGCCAUGCAACAUAACAAAUUUUGGUACAUAAUCCAAUAACAAUUGGAAAAAAAAAAAAAAAACCCUUAAAAUGCAUAAUCAUGAAAAAAGGAAGAAAACCAUCUAUGAUGAAGCAAAAACUAAAACGGUGUCGAAAAAUGAAGCCCUUAAGCCAUAAAAAUCAGUCAACUCAAGUCAUGCAUGGUCUCAGAACCAUGAAAAAAGAUAGAAAAUGACCUUUUUUUUUUUUGUGGUGGCCGGGGUUUGAACUCCGGACCUUGCAUAUUUUAUGCAUUGUCCUACCAACUAAGCUAAGCUCACGAGGACGAAGAAAAUGACCUCUUAUGAAGAAGAAAGUGAAACAGUGUUCCCGACUGAACUUAGAUACCGUUUGGUCAAGGUUUUUUACAUUAUAAAAGUUACUUCAAAACAAAGUAAAAAUAAAGGCCUUUAUGAAAGAAACUAAAGUUAUUUGGUUUUUUUGUUUUGUUAGUUUUAAAGCUAUUUAAGUUUAAUGUUGUUUGGCAAAAUAUUGUACAAACUUUGAAUUUAUUAUUUUUUAUAUGGUGUCUGGGGUUCGAACUCCGGACUUGGCAUGUAUUUAUGCAUUGUUCCUAUCAACUGAGCUAAACUCAUGAGGACAAAACUUUGAAUUUAUUAUUAAUUAACAUAAUAAAUAAAUAAAAUGUUUAGAAUAAUUUAUGAAGGCUAAAAAUGUUAAAAAAAUAAAAGAUAUUUUUUUUACAAAUACGAUAUUUACUCAAUAACGUUUAUUUUGUGUAACAUGAAUACAAAUUAAUAUCAUCAUAUAAAUAACUUGUUAAAUAUUUGAAUAGGAGAAACAAUUUAAGGAGUCUGGAAUAAUAAUAUAAAUAAUAUCAAAAUAUUUGAUUUUUUCUAUUUCAAUUAUACUCUAUAACAAAUUUCGUUAUAAGAAUACCAUAUUUUUUGUGUCUUUCAAAAAGAUAAGAAUUUAUAUUAUAUGAUAUUAUAUUUGUUACAUUGUUGGUGUCAUGGAAACAGAUAUGUUUAAUUUUUUUGAACAUGAAAAUGAUAUGCAUAGUUUGUUACGAUAUAAAGGUGCAAUAUAUAUAUAUAUAUACACCUUUUUAGGCAUCUAUACCUUUUUUUGAAGAAAAGACAUCUACAAUUUUACUUUUAAUUAAAAUUUAAAUUUUAUAAAAAUAAUCAUACGCAUUAUGCAACGCUAAAAAAAAUUAUACACAUUAGCGUAACAAAAAAACAGACACACAUAAAGAAUUACUCUAAACGCUAAUGUGUAUGUGCGUAUAUAUUUGCGAGGUUGAAGAAAGAAAAUACAAAUAUUUGAUAUCAUUAAAUGACAGCGUGAAUAAAAAUAUUUGUGAAGUUGUGAUGAUUAAACGAUAUUGAAAUUAUAAGUGAUAAAAAGAUAAUAAAAUUCCUUUGAAAAAAAGGUAAUAAAAUUAAAUGGAACCUCCUUAAAAAAAAUUAAAUUGAACGCUUCAAAUUAAAUGGAAGAAAAAAAUAUAUUGAAGUAUAAUAUUAAAAAAUAAAAAAAAAGGUUCCCAACGUGAAUUGAAGAGAGAUGCUUGUGAAAUAAAUUGUCGAGAAGUAGUUUUUUGAAGAAGCAUUCAACAACUUUUGGUCAAAGUUCAUUGCAUUCAAUUUUAUGCAUUAAAAAAGGUACAUUUUUUAGAAAGUACUUAAUUGAUAUUGUAUUUGACCUAACUUCUCCUUAAAAAUAUAGGGAAGUUGAAAAAAAAAACCGGGUCAAACGGUAUCUUAAUUUCCCACAACGGCAGUGUAGAAACAACUGAAUUUGGGAGAAAAAAAUUGGAAAAUAGUUAAAAAUAAAAAAAAUUGAAAAAUAGUUAAAAAAAAUCGGUGAGGUAGCACCUAACCAAACAACACUAAAAAAAAUUAUAUGCAUCAGCGUAACAAAAAAACAGACAGACGGACAUAAAAUAUUACUCUAAACGUUAAUGUGUGUGUAUAUAUUCGCGAGGUUGAAGAAAGGAAAUAAAAAUAUUUGGUAUCAUUAAAUGACAGCGUGAAUAAAAAUAUUUGUGAGGUUGUGAUGAUUAAACAAUAUUGAAAUUAAAAUAAUUAAUAUUGUGUUUGACCCAACUUCUCCUUAAAAAUUUAGAGAAGUUGGAAAAAAGUCGGGUCAAGCGAUACCUUAAUCUCCCACAACGGUAAUGUAGAAGCCACUGAAUUUGGGAGAAAAAAUUGGAAAAUAGUUAAAACUAAAAAAUAAAAAAAUCGGUGAGGUAGCACCCAACCAAGCAACACCAAAAAAAAAUUAUAUGCAUUAUCGUAACAAAAAAAUAGACAAACAGACAUAUAAUAUUACUCGAAACAUUAAUGUGUGUGUAUAUUCGCGAGGUUGAAGAAAGGAAAUAAAAAUAUUUGAUAUCAUUAAAUGACAACGUGAAUAAAUAUAUCUGUGAGGUUGUGAUGAUUAAAUAAUAUUUAAAUUAAAAUAAUUGAUAUUGUGUUUGACCUAACUUCUCCUUAAAAAUGUAGAGAAUUUGGAAAAAAGCCGGGUCAAACGAUACCUUAGUCUCCCACAACGGCAAUGUAGAAGCAACUGAAUUUGGGAGAAAAAAUUGAAAAAUAGUUAAAAACAUAAAAAUUGGAAAAUAGUUAAAAGUUAUUAAAAAUUAGAAAAUAAUUUAAAAAAUUGGUGAGGGGCAAAAUGGGAAAUUUGGCAUAAAAAAGAUGAGGUGGCACCAAACCAAACCCACCAAUUAGAAAAUUACUUAAAUGCCCAUUCCAGGGACAAAAUGGGAAUUUCAUAUGGCAUCAAUUUUAAUAGAGUAUAUAGACCACUCACAUUACACAAAUGUUGAAAUAUAUGAUGCAUAUUACUUUUUAAAUUUUUGGUUUAUAGUUGCAUUUUUUUUAGGGUUAAUAGUGUUUUUCACCCUUGUAAUAUAUGUCAUUUUCGGUUUUCGACCCUAUAAAAUUUUUAGUUUUAUUUUAACCCUCGUAAAAUUUUUAUUUUCCGGAAAAGACCCUUAAUAGGCCAUUCAAAAACCAAAAUUUCUUGAAAAAAAUUCUGAAAAUGGCCUAUUAGGGGUCUUUUCCGGAAAAUAAAAAUUAUACGAGGGACCACCUGUUGAGAAACCACCUGUACACAAGCCACCAGUUGAGAAGCUACCUGUUUACAAGCCACCUGUAGAGAAACCUCCGGUGUACAAGCCACCUGUUGAGAAGCCCCCAGUUUACAAACCUCCAGUAGAGAAGCCUCUAGUGCACAAGCCACCAGUUGAUAAACCACCUGUACACAAGCCACCAGUUGAGAAGCUACCUGUUUACAAGCCACCUGUAGAGAAACCUCCGGUGUACAAGCCACCAGUUGAGAAGCCCCCAGUUCACAAACCUCCAGUAGAGAAGCCUCCAGUUCACAAACCUCAAGUGGAGAAGCCACCUGUAUACAAGCCACCAGUUGAGAAGUUUCCAAUUUACAAACCUCUAGUAGAGAAGCCUCCAGUGCACAAGCCACGAGUUGAGAAACCACCUGUACACAAGCCACCAGUUGAGAAGCUACCUUUUUACAAGCCACCUGCAAAGAAACCUCCGGUGUACAAGCCACCAGUUGAGAAGUCCCCAGUUUACAAACCUCCGUUAGAGAAGCCUCCAGUGCACAAGCCACCGGUUGAGAAACCACCUGUAUACAAGCCAC